UUUUUUUUUUGGUAUGGCGGGUACUCUCAAUGAUAUCAAUGUGUUGCAAUUGUCUCAUUUGUUUGCUAGAUUUGCUAGUGGUGAUGCUCCUGCUUGCACUUCAUGGUGAAUGGGCAUGAGUACACAAAGGGGUACUAUCUUGCAGAUGGUAUUUACCCCUCUUAGUGUACAUUUGUGAAGAGCAUCAAAAAGCCCGAAACAAGGAAGCAUAUUGAAUUUGCAAAGGUACAAGAGGCUGCCCGAAAAGAUAUUGAAAGAGUCUUCGGAGUUUUGCAAUCUAGAUUUGUCAUUGUUCGUGGUCUUGCUCGUUUUUGGGACAAGAAAACCCUGAGCAACAUCAUGACAUGUUGUGAUUCUUCACAACAUGAUAUCGAAGAUGAGAGGGACUUAAACUUGGAGUUCUUCUACAACAAUGUCGGUAGCCGUGUAAAGCCAACUAGAGACCCUGACCGCAUACAAGCAUCCCUUCAGUCAUACUGACAGAUUGAAGAUGCAAACACCCACCAUCAGCUUCAGGAGGAUCACAUUCGGAACAAGUGUUGUAUUGAGUUGAUUAGCUUUAUUCAGUGAUUUGAAUAAUUAUUGUAAUUUGGAUUCAAAAUAUUCACAUUUUAUGCUAUUUGAAUUCAUAUUACUUUCAUAUGUGAGAUAUGUGUUAAAUUCAGAAAUAACCAUGCGUUUAUAGCGGAACUGUAAAACAGAAUUUUCACAUAAUAUUACGUUUUACAGUUCUGCUAUGCAGGGUCUGUUCGGCCGCAGCCCGCGCGAGUCCGCAAAACGUAAACGCGCGAUAAGGGUCGGCGAUGUAAGGGUCUGCUAGAGAUGCUCUUAUCUCUCUUUAUUUCUUCAAUCUUGCCCCACACAGACCCAGCACGAACGAGGCAGAAACUAACCCGGUGGAUCCCAAAUGAAGAAUACACCGUGUUACUACUCCCUCCGCUUCUUUUUACUACCCAUAUUAGGUUUUCCUAAAUCAAACAUUAUAGAAGAAAACACCAGCAUUUGCAAUUCCAAAUCAGUAUCAUUAGUUCCAUCAUGGAAUAUAUUUUCAUGCUGCAUUUAUUCGGCAUUGUAGAUGUUAAAAAAAUUCAAUAUAAAUUUGGUCAAACUUUAUAAAGUUUGAUUUAAGACAAACCUAACAUGCGAAGUAAAAAGAAACAGAGAGAGUACUAUCAAACAACAUGCAAAGCAGUUUCGCCUGUCGGCACAAGGGAGAAGAACAACAAAUUGUCCAUUAAUAUUAGACAUCAAAUAUAACAGUCCCAGCACAGCACAUCACAGCCGCUGGAAACAACAUUUUUUGUGAGUCAGGCAGGCAUGGAAAUCCAUCCUAGUACAAGAUUAAUUAGCUGAGACUACAAGUCUUCCAUCAUACAUUUCAUAAACACAUGGUGGCUGUGCAGCUCCCCUCCCUACCAGCUGCCAUCAUCAUCAUCAUCCUUGCAUAUCCAUCUCACUGAAACCUCUCUCCCCAGCCACCAUAUGCAUACAUUGUUGGUUCAUAUAUCGGAGGAGUCACUAGACUCCCCAUAAAUAUAGACAGACGAUCGCCGCCGCGCCACAUAUACAACAGAGGGCGAAACAGGCCUCUAGGGCAGAGACGUUUCGCCGGUAGAGCGCUGAGGACGCGGCCACUUCUCUUCCCCUCCACCUACAACAGCAAGAUGAGGAGGGGUGUUUCAGAAGCAGCCGUCUCCUCCUACACUACCGUCUUCAGGACACGCACCCAGCUUGUUCUUCAUGCGGUUCCACUUCUUCCGCAGGUCGUCCGGGCAGCGCGUGGGGUGGAUCGACUCCCUGCAGUACUCGUGUAUGCGCACCCACGAGAUGGACCUCUUCUCCUUCGCGGCCUCCCCAUUCGGGGCAAACUUCGCCACUGCCUCCUGAAACCGGUGGAAAAAUGGUGUGUGAGUACGCGCACAGUUUACAUGCACAUUACCUACUAACUAGGGAACUGAAUGAAAAAUGCUGACCCAGCUCAAUUACGAGAUGGUUCAGAGUUAGCAAUGAAAUUUCAUGGUAGCUUCCCUGAGCCAUCCAUCAUAUCGAUCAGUGUGUAUUGCAAUGAAAUCACGAGCGGGAUGCUUACCCUCAGAGCCACCUCCUCUGCCUCGGUCCAGAAGAUCAUCUUGCGCCUCGCGGUUGUCGAUGUGAAAGGCGUUUUACUUGGCGCCAGGGGACUCCUCAUAGCUGGUGUGUGGGGACUGUAGCUGCAACACAGAUUUUGAGAUUAUGAAAACAGAGCAUGCAUCAUCACAUUAGAUGGAAACAAGGGUAUUUUCACAACAAACGGGGCGUCUGCAUUUAGAAAUACUGCUAUUGUAAAAGAAAUUUUAAUGUGUGCUUCCCUUUUCCAUGUGUGGAUUAUUUUGGUACGUGCACUGUCAGAUGUGAAACUGCACAGCAGAGGGUACACUGCCGUGCAGAUUACUUUAUGUGCCUACGCAAAACUGCUUAACAGUAACAACAUGUCCAUACCUAUGCCACAGGCCACAGCGGCCAGCGUCAUAUGCAGAUAGGUACAGAGUAGAGUACACUCUAAUUUCACCGUCCUAAAUAUAAAUCCAUUUGAACUAACCAUGAGUGUGAAAACUAGUGCAAAUCCAAAAUUAUCCAUCAAUGAAGAGACUGAUUUUCCCUCGUACCAGUAUAUUGCAUAGUUACCCCUCACUCUAGAGAUUUCUAUUCUUCUCAGGUUUAUACCAUCUCGAAGCUAAAUGCAUCAUGCUAUCAUGAUACUGAACUAACAAGCUUAAAUAAUUCAGUUAAUCAAGAGAAACUGUGACUUGGUAGGUUCCAGCCUAUAAACAUCCAUGGCACAGCAUUAUUUAAUUGCAAGUAUAACUCAGGGGGUUCUCUGUAAUCUGAAUCUAAAUUAACCACAGGUCACAGGCAUCCUUAAUAAGUAAUAACAAUUCAAAGAGUGCAACUGGAAAAAGAAGUACUUAGCACUUACUAAUGCUCGGGUGGGUAUGGAUAAUAUCUUUUCCUUGCUGGUGAAUGCACGAACUGAUCCUGGUACCUCAAUGUUUUCCAAGUACUAUUUGGUGCCACUGUCCCCAUUUCUUGAAAGCUUACUUUGCGGCGGCUUAUGUUUCGCGAAGAUAUAGCUCCUAGUCUAUCAGAAAAAUUGCAAUUGGGAGAAUUCAUAAGACAAUUCUCUUUGCCAACCCCAAUGUUGCGAUUUGCAACAGAACUGAAUCUAUCCCGAGCUGAAUAUGGCACUUCACGAGACAAAUUGCUAUUGCUGUCUCCAUGGGAUUUUGCAUUUUCAGAACUCGAAAAAGUGGUUGUCUUUGUGGUGACUACCUUCUCAGGACAAGCAUCACUUGUACCAUUUUCUUUCAGAUGACUAGGCUCUCCAUCCUUGCGACAGAGCUCAGCUGCUUCAGACUGACCUUGCUUUUUAGCUGUGUGAAAGCCAUUCAUCAGCUCACUGUGUUCCUUAGAAAAUUGCUUCCAGCCGCUGCAGAAAACAGAUAAAUUUUUCCUAGCUUCAGAAUAUGUUUUCUUAGCCUUUUCCAGUGCUUUAGCAGCUUUUCGGCAAUAGCAAACAGGGCAAUCAAAAUGGCCAGAGUCAUCGAAUGUCACUGAUGAACCAAAACACCUAGCAUGGGCGGCUAAGAAGCAACUGGAACAUUUCAGCAGCUGCCCAUCUUUACCGCAUUUCACACAUGAGUCCAGUUCCGUCAAGCUUUCUGAACUUUCCGAGGGAGUGCUGCCGCAACGAGACUCUAGCCCACCAUAGAUUGUAUCCAUUAUCUUUCUGUCAUCAGGUGGCUCUUGAUCAACUUUGUCAGCACAACUGACUGAUUGCUGAAUAUCUCCACCAUUCUGAACAUCCAAACCUUGAGCUGUGCAAUUGCCUGCAAACUCAUUUAUUUAGUGAUGAUGGAACAAAAAUAUAAGUAUGUGAUUUAUCACAAAAUACAAAGUAUUUAAUUUACCUAUCACAGACUUGAUGGGUGUCUCAAAGCCAGUCACUGGUGACUUCUGGUUCUGCCAUUUGCUAGUCUGUGCAUCAACGAGCUCUGAAUGCGCCUCCUUCAGCUCAACCUCCUCAAGAUUCCUCAUGCUGUUAGGAGAUGGUUCUAACGGGCCUAAAAAAGGUAUGUCACAUUCUGUCAGCACGUUUCGUGAAGAUAUGUUUUCUUAAAGAAGCUUUCAUUCUUUGUUGAAAAUAUAUGUACUCCCUCCGUCCCAAAAUAAGUGUCUCAACCUAGUACAACUUUGCACUAAAGUUAGUACAAAGUUGAGACACUUAUUUUGGGACGGAGGGAGUAUGUUACUAAGAAGAUAUUCAACUAAAUCGGAAAAUAUGUUACAGUUUGUUUGUAGAAGUUAGUUUUGAAAGCAUGUAGUCCAAGUUUCCCUAAGCUCAAGAAGUCAGUAUAUCUGCCAUGAAAAAUAUAGUAUAAUAUCUUUCUAUACAUUUUGUUCUAACUCAUGUAAGGAGAGUAUUAAAGAGAGAAAUAUUGUCAAAAAGUGAUGAAAGAAAAGAUGACAAAAACCCAGGAAAAUCGGAAAGACAGAAUAUAUGUAUCACGAUGAGUAGUUGCGAACUAUCUGACACUCAUUGAGAUGGAAUAUUUGAUCUCUGGUUUGGUUUUGAAUUUGGUGGUGAAGUGGUGAACUGAACUUUUCUAUAAAAUUACUAACAACACUAUAUAAUUAGUAAUUUAACAGCGCAUUUCCCUUUUCAUCAUAAAUCAUUAACCAUUUCAUGGAUUCUUAGUUUCUGCACCAAAAACAGCACAAAAAGUUUAAAAGUAAGUCGAAUUGACGCUCUUAUAAUUAUUGCAGUUAUCUAAACUGGAGUUGUCUUUUGGAAAUAUGAUGGUACUAAAAUCUUAUAUGAAACUUUUUUUUGCAGGAAAAUGUGUGUGUGCCACUGUGCUAGUUUUACUUAGUGAUGGAACAAAAAAUAUGAGCAGUUGAUCUACCGCAAAACAUAACAUACUUACCAUUCUGGGAACUAAAAGGCGUCUCAAAGCCCAGUGGUGACAUUUGGUUCUGGUAUCUGUCAACAGCAGCACGCCAAACCUCCUCCCAUGCAUGUUUCUGACCCUCCACUGUACGUUAUCACAAACAUUAAAAAGGGUAGAAAAGGUAAACACAGAGCACAUCAGCGAAUCUACAUCGACAUGUAUUUGCACAUACCAGGUUGUCCAAAGGCCAGAACCAUGGCAGCCUUUGAUGGUGGUUUUCCCUGUCUAAAAAGAAAAGAAAAUUACAUUGCAGAAACUCAAAUAACUGUUGAGACUUAGAAGUAAUAACUCACUUAAGAUCUGCAGUUAUUAAUAUAUGUGCAUACAACUGCGCAUGCUGUUCAUCGGUGAAUGCUUCAUGCGCCAAAGCUUCACAGGUGUUCUUAAGCGAACUUCCAGGUGUCCUCACACCCUAACAAUUAUGAUAAAUCAUGUUAAUAUAUUCCAACUAACCAAAAGGAUUGACAUGUAUAAAAAAUUAAUUUCUGAAAGAAAAAACUCUUCAGAAGGGAAGCAACCGGACCAUGUAGGAGGGAAGUGAUGCAUGAGCAAACACACCUGCAUGGCAUGCACAGAGAGAUGGAAAGAGGGGGAAGGGGAUUACCUCGGUAUCUGGAACAGCUUGAGAUCCGGCAUAAGGUUUCCAUUCAGGAGUCUGAAUCUCGUCUGAUGAAUCUGUCAGUGCUCGUUCUGCAAACAAAAGGCUCUAUAUUAUAUCAGCUUGACUAAUUUCGAGCAAGUUAGGCGGCCAAGAUUCAAUUUCACAAUCUAGCCAAUGCAAGGCAGGAAUCCAACCUCAGGUAAAUCAUCAAUAGCCCAAAUUUUGGAAGGCUAUAAAAAAUCCUAUUUUACACCCAAAGUAUAUAUGAAUUUGAAAGAAAAAAGAGGGGCGGCAAAGGUGACUUGGGCACGUGAGCAAGCACAGCAAAAUCACAAACUUGCUGCACAAGCUAUCGAUUGAGGGGCUCAAACAGAAAUGAAAAAGCAGAAGCCAGGCGGCUGGCGUCUCCAUACCUAGAGGAGGGUUGCGCAUGGGGCGUAGGGCGGACUUUGCUGGUGGUUUUCCCUGGCUACAAAGAAGAUAAAAUUAAAUUGGAGAAACUCACAUAACUUUUGAGAUUUCCAAGUAGUAAUAGCUCACCUAAGAUCUGGAUUGACCAGUAUCUGUGCAUCCAACUGUGCAUGCAGUUCAUAGGCGAAUGCUUUAUGCGUCAAAGCUUCACGGGUGCUCUUAACCCAACUUACAGGUGUCCUCACAUGCUAACAAUUAUGAUAAACAUGUCAAUAUAUUACAACUAACCACAACAAUUAUGACAGACCAUGUCAGUAUUAAAAAUAAAUUCUAAAAAAUAAACAGUUCUUCGGUAGGGAGGGAGCCAGACCAUGUGGGAGGGAAGUGAAACAUGAGUAAACACAGCUGAAUGCACACGAUCUGUGCAUGCAUACAGAGAUGGGAAGGGGGGCGGGGGGUUUACCACAGUUUCUGGAAGAGCUUGAGAUCUGGCAUAAGGUUUGCACUCAGGGGUCUGAACCUCCUCUGGUGAAUUUGGCAGUGCUCCCUCUGCAAACAAAAAGUUCUCUGUAUUACAUCGACUUCACUGAUUUCGAGCAAGGUAAGUGACCAAGAUUCGAUUUCGCUGCCUAGCCAAUGCAAGGCAGGAAUCCAAUCUCAAGUAAGUACUAACAUCAGUAGCCCAAAUUUUGGCAGGCUAUAAAAAACCCUAUUUGCAUCCAAAGAAAGUGGGGGGAAGGUUCGGACAGAAAUUAAAAACCAGAGGACGAGUGACUGGCAUCUCUGUACCUAGAGGAGGAGAGUCGCGUGCAGGGCGUAUGGCGGCCUUUGCUGUUGGUUUUCCCUGGCUACAAAGAAGAUAAAAUUAAAUUGGAAAAACUCACAUAACUGUUGAGACUUGCAAGUAAUAAUAACUCACCAAAGAUCUGCAUUGACUAGUAUCUGUGCAUCCAACUGCUCAUGCUGUUCAUCAGUGAAUGCUUCUUGCCCCAAAGCUUCAUGGGUGCUCUUAACCGAACUUACAGGUGUCCUCACGCCCUAAAAAGUAUAAUAAACCAUGUCAAUAUAUUCCAACUAUAACCAAAACAAUUAUGAUAAACCUGCCAGUAUGGAAAAAUAAAAACAGCUCUUGGGUAGGGAGGGAAGACCCAUGAGCAGAACAAAGACAUACUUCCUCCGUCCCAAAAUAUAAGAACGUUUUUUACACUAUACUAGUGUCAAAACGUUCUUAUAUUUUGGGACAGAGGGAGUACACAGUUGAACGCACAUGAUCUGUUCACGCAUACAGAGAGAGAGAGAGAGAGAUGAGAGAGGGGAGGGGUUUACCUCGGUUUCUGGACCAGCUUGAGAUCCGGCAAGAGAUUUCCACUCAGGCGCCUGAAUUUCCCCCUCCGACGAGUUCGGCAGCGCCCCCUCUUCCUCUGCAGACAAAAGGCUCUCUGAAUUAUCUCCACCACUCGACUGAUUUCAUUUCAAGAAAGGCAGGUGGCCAAAAUACAAUUCCGCUCUCUAGCUAACGCAGGUAAGGAAUCCGGCCUCAGGCAAGCAGCACAGACAGCAGGCCAAGAUUUGGCAGGUAAAAAAACAAGAAAAGGCCAAUCUUGCGCCCGGAACAGCACGGAGGGAUUUGAAAAAGAAGAAAAGGGGGGAAGAGAGCGUCUUGCGCAGCGGGCGGCCGCGACUCGGCCGAGGAGCUCGAGCCCCAGAGGAAACGGAAGAAGGGCGGCGCCGGCCGUACCUCGAGGAGGGGGAGGGGGGUCGCGGAACGGCGUAAACCCUAGCUCGCGCGGGGUUACGGGGACGCGGCGCGCGGGAUCCGGCCGAGCGGGGCCGGCGCGCGGCGUCGCGGCGGUGGCCGGCGUCGAUUCUCCCGGGUCGACGGCGGCGGUGGCCAUCGGAUGAGGUGGGGAGUGGAGCGGGGGGAGAGAGUGGGGUUUGAAAUUGGGUGACGGGACGAACACGAACGCGAGGGCUGACCUUUUUUUCGCUUGCGGAAAUAGAUUAGAGAAGACGGCAGUGGGAGAGGAAAGGGAUAGAAGGGCCUGGGCUGGGCUGUACAUGGUCCUGGGCCGCAUCUGUUCGAGCAGCGCCGGCGGAUAUCAUUCGGCCCGAUAGCUGAAACCACCUUCCGCUCGAAACCACUACUCCUUCAGAUCACUUCCGCUUUUGUCUAAAAAAAAUCACUUCCGCUUACCACUUGUGGUAAUCUGUGAGUUUUUUCUUUGUUUCGUAAUUUCGUUUAUUUAAAAAGUUUUGUCUUUUAAACCAUACGUCCAAAUCUCGAACCGUUUUCACCGUUGGAUUCCUCGCGUCGAGAUAUUUAAAACUAAAUCCCAUGUGUUAUAGGUUUUGACGAACUUUUUUUUCACGACAAAAGCUGUACAAAAAACCGAAUGAAAAAACCAAACCGGGAGCAGGUUUUUUCCCGCCGGAUGUUGCAUUUUCGCAGUGAGGGAAGGUUGGCUUGACAGGCUUCGUUCUGGAUGUUGUAAUAUCUUCUCAUGGUCGAUCUAGAGGAUUGACACCCCAGACAGACCUAGUUGUCCACUUUCCGAAAGCAGUUUCCGAGAGGAACGGCCGUGCCUCUCACAAAAGCAAAAUUGUGCCUCUCGUGAAAACAACACAUUGCCUCUCGCGGAAAAGAAGAAGAUAAAACACGUAUAUUUCGUUUUCCGAGAGGCACGCUCACGGAAGCAAAACCGUGCCUCUCGCGAAAACAAAACCGUGCCUCUCGCCGAAGGAAAAAAAUAAAACGCAUUUUUUUUUCAUUUGCGAGAGACACGAAAAGCAAAACCAUGCCUCUCACGGAAGGGAAAAAACAAGAGAAAACACAUUUUUCUGUUUUCGACUCUCGCAGAAGCAAAAUCAUGCCUCUCACGGAAGGAAAAAAAUAAGAGAAAAUGCGUUUUUUUCAUGUCCAAGAGGCAUGGCCGUGCCUCUUGCGGAAACAAAUUCAUGUCUCUCACGGAAGAAAAAAACGCGUUUUCCCAAAAAAUGUAUAAAUUUUUUGUCCAAAAUCGAAGGAUGACCGGUGAAAAAUCAAAAAGCCAAAAAAGGAAAAAAAAAUAAAAAGUCAAAAAACGCAUGGAAAAUAAAAAACAAAAUACGGAGGAAGCGUCCAGAGUGCGACACGUGGCAGCAAAUGAGAGCGGGCCAGNNNNNNNNNNNNNNNNNNNNNNNNNNNNNNNNNNNNNNNNNNNNNNNNNNNNNNNNNNNNNNNNNNNNNNNNNNNNNNNNNNNNNNNNNNNNNNNNNNNNNNNNNNNNNNNNNNNNNNNNNNNNNNNNNNNNNNNNNNNNNNNNNNNNNNNNNNNNNNNNNNNNNNNNNNNNNNNNNNNNNNNNNNNNNNNNNNNNNNNNNNNNNNNNNNNNNNNNNNNNNNNNNNNNNNNNNNNNNNNNNNNNNNNNNNNNNNNNNNNNNNNNGUUCCUUAGUUAGUUGCACCAUGUACCCCCUAGAUUAAACCCCCAACAUUUGGCUAAUUAAGGACAGUAAAACUGAGUCUAAACCGAGCCCUCUCAGCGAUAUUUGAUUUUGGCCGUUAGAUCCCGCAUCUCGGUUGUCCCUGACCGUCUGAUGAAUCGCUUCCGCUCGUGUUGGCUGCUCCUGUGCCGCGCUGUCCUUGAGCUGCUAGGAUAGUAAAACUGAGACUAAACCGAGCCCUCAGCGAUUUGCGAUUCUAGUCGUUAGAUCAUGCGUCUCGGUUGUCCCUGGAUGUCUGAUGAAUUGCUUCCGCGCCUGUGGGCCACUCCUGGGCCACGCUGUCCUUGGGCUGCUAUUCUAGAGGCAGAAUCUGAUGCCUCUCGUUCACUCUUCACGGCUAACGUCGGAUCUUCAACGAGCGGCGGUGAUUCUACUCUGUGUCCACCUCCUACCACCACUCCCAUCCGCGCAGCCCGCCCACUCCUCUCUACCCCCGAACCCUUCCAAUCUCGCCCUAGGUCAAAGAGAGACAACCAGAGGUGAUUGAUGGCGCCAACCACUCGCGAUCCACGCAUUUGGCGACCCUCGAUUCUGCUCCUCUCCCGACCUAUGUGUGUCGCCACCAUUCCUCCUCUCAGGAGGCAAAGACCAGGAGGAGAAGUGGAGCGUUCCUCACGACGAGUAGCGGCACCUAAGACGACAUGUUAGCUCGCAUGGCGGUUGGAGGGUUUCCAGGCGGAACUGUGUCAAAGAUGGUUGUCGCCCUACAACCACGCCGGUAUGCCACCAUGCCUUCCCCUACACUGGAUUUUUCUAUUCCGUUCAGAUACACUCAUGCAGGUGAGCAUGUCAAUGUCCUGUUAUAUCUGUUUCACCUUUUAUUUAAUCUGAUCCGUACAGAUACGAUUAGAUCUUGGGUGUUUUCGUGGGAGAUGUUUUUGUUUUCCAUGCAACGUUCCCCAUCACUUCCUCGGUGGCUUGGGCAGUGGUCUUGGCUAUGUAUAGGUUUCGGUUGCCCAUUCAACUUCAACCAACAAUGCAUGACGGUGAAGUUUUACUUCUCCAACUUCUUCUCCCUUUUACUCCCCCUACUGUCCGCCGGCCCAAUCCUGCUAAUGUUUGCUCGUGCCGGUCUGGGUGCAGCUCUGCUGCGUCUAAGUGUAGUUGUCGGACUGGGUGCGAUCCGAGUCUUCCAGCCGCCCGUCCUCAUAGCCACCUCCUCCUCCGGCUCCGUCGUGGAUGAUGUCGAACAUCUUGUUGUCCACGUCAUUGUACGUUGGUUCCCCCGCUUUAGGCACAUCAGCGAACAGUGUGAGGGCACCCAUAUGCUCUCUGCCCAUCGUCCAUGCCCGGACAAGCUACGGCGAUGAACACUCCGAGAAGGGCAGCGGUGCCACGUUUAUGUCAAUGAUGGCACUUGCCCGCCGGGGGUUGCCGUGGACUGCCUACUGAGCUGCUUGGCAGCGUAGAAGUACAGAGCCUUGCAAUGCUUCGGCCAUGGUGUCAUUUGUACAGUGGACAACACUAUCGGGGCACCGCGUCCCAGUCCGUGACCUCCACCACGUCCGCCACCAGCACGCUCUCCGCCUGCCUUGUACUUCUUGAGCGGUUCCUCCUUUGAGGCCUUCGUUUGACGCGAUGAUUUUGCCGCAUCGUUGAGUUGAUCUACUAGAAAUUUGGAGAUGUAAAAUACUGGAAAGUGGGGAUUUUGCCACGGAAAUUGGGUGGACAGCUACAAAAGCACAGGCUCCGCUUUCCUUUUGGGUGGGCCAGAGGUGUCAGAGUUCGACGUGUCCCGUAUCCGGACUCCCGCAAAGUCCAUCCCCUCUUUAGUCCUGGAUUACAGGAAUAUUGUGGUCUGGACAGCUUCACGGACGGAUGGGGGUCGGCAUCGGAUGGCUUCCUGGGUCCGAACAGCUGCGUCCGGAUGUAUGCGGGCGGUUUGAGGGUCGAUGUUGGAGAUGCCCUUAGCUCGGGCUCAAACAUGUACGUAUGCAACUUGGAUGCUGGCCGGAUUGCCCUAAGAGCAUCUCCAAUAGAAGAUGCAAAUUUGGGGAUAUAAAAAUUUACAUCUCCAAAAAGUGCUUUUUACAUCUCAAAAAAGAGACAACCCAACAGAUGAUGCAUAUUGGAGAUGUAAAACCGCAAUACUGCAAAAUGGAGAUGUAAAAACUAGUGGGCGGCAGCCGAAUUGGGGCGGCGGCGACACAGUGUGAUUCGUAGCGGUACCGUCGGGGCGGCGGCGCGGUGUGAUUCGGGGUGGCGCCGUCGGGCCAGCGGCGGCUGUGCGUGGGGGUGGAGGACAAGCGUCAGAGGGGCGGCGGGGGUGGGAAAUCGUGACGCCGGAGGCACAAAUCGGGGCGGUGGAGCAACGACAGUGCAACGGUGACUCGAUGAGGAGAGAGGAGGAGGAGCGGCAUGGGGGCGGCGGAGGAGCGGCGGAGGGGCGGCGGAGCAUCGGUGAUUUGAGGCUAAGAGAGGAGGAGGAGCAGCGUAGGGGUGUCGGAGGAGCGUCAGAGGGGUGACGGGGGUGGCGAAUCGGGGCGGCGGCAUGGCGGCAACGGCAUGGAUGCGGUGGACGGAUUGGGGAAAUUGGUCGCGGAGGCAGCGGCGAGGUGGGUCAGACCACCGGCGGCGGUGGAGGAGGCCGCGGUGUCACCGGCUUCGGCCAUGGCGGGGGUGGGCGGUGGGCGGGCGGCGGUCGCAUGGGAGCCAACUGAAGGCAGUUAGACGAUUGACACGCGGCUGGCGUUUUUACAUCUUGAAGAUGUAAAUUUGCAUCGCGAGGUGUUAUAUUUUACAUCUUCGCCUUCAGGAGGCGAAGAUGUAAUUUUUAUUUCGUCUACAUCAUCUGUUGGAGAUGGAUUUUUGGGCCUCGGAGAUCCAAAAGUUUGUUAUUUUUCAUUUACAUCUUCUAUUAAAGAUGCUCUAACUUAUUUUGGUUUUUCCAAUAACAAAUUGACGUUUGAUAUGGGAGGUGUUAUCCAAAACGGAUCAUUCGCACCCAACCGGUAAUGUGAGCGAGCGAAUACAGAGCGGUCGUUCGCAGCACCGCGUGGCCCGCACCAGUGGCCUGCUAGCUCGGCCUUCCUCGGAAACGGUAAAUCUGCAAAAACAAAACAACAACACCUACAGUAAAAAAUGCCAGGAUAAACUAAAAAAAGGUAAAAUACCUACAGGAAAUAACCAUGCCGCAGCGAAAAAAAUAUCUACAUGGCAAAAAGUAUGCCAAAAAGGUAAAUCUGAAAAAACCAACAUGAUAUUGCCACGUUGAACUACAGAAAGAAAAUCAUAAGCGGCAAAUGUGCAUUCUAAAAAUCAUACAAAAGGAUUUGCGAUGGUCCACUAAAAAAAAAUAUGAAAUCCUGCAUGGCAAAAGUUGCAUAGUAAUCUAAGAAGAAAAAACCUACAAGAAAGAAGGCGAUGGACAUUAAGUUGCCACCAUUUGCUCUAGCAAAUAGUACUCCCUCUAAAUCCGCACGUGCAGAAAUAUUUUCUAAAAAUAACAGGCAUAGUUAUCCGGUUGCUUUCACUAUUAAUUGCUUGGACCAUGAUGUGAAUAGUUAGUCGGGUUCCUGUAGUUUUCAUCUGUUAAUUGCUUGGAGGAUAAUGUGAACAGUUAGCGGCAUCAGCGUGGAUAAGAUGACAUGAGUGCCUGAGUGGAUGAUUGAAAGAAUAUAUAUAUCUACAGUGCCCAGGAUCCCACCCACCCUCCCCCAAAGAUCCCAUGAGUGGCAGAUUGAAAUAAUCUAUGUACAGUAACUAACCUCCCCCCUAUUGAUUCAAAAAACUAGCCUCCCCUCCCACACGAAAACUUAUUUCAGAAUCCGCUUUAUUCACCGGCAUGUUUGCCUUCGUCGGCCCACGGUCGUCGGUCGCGCCGCCGACAUGGUAUGGGCCAGAAACGCCGUCCCGCUAGGCAGGAUAGAUAUUUGAACAUCUAGCUUUCAACUGUGCACCAUCCGACAUGACAUCUGAUUUUGCAGAUUAUAUUACUGGUUCUUCUGAUUUGCGUCAUUCUAGCGAAACCAAUCAUGAAACCACAAUCUGUUUGGCGCAUAAGCAUUCUAGAUUCCCCCCAUGAUAACGCGUCCACGUUUGGUGAUAUAGUCAAACAAUUCAGUGCUUUACUGAAUCCAACCUUCCGCAUGGCGCGGCUUUUACGUGCAUUUGAAUCGACGAUGGGUAUUGCGUGGUUUUCCGGCUUAUAUUACGCCUAACUAUAGUAAUGUGUGUGAGAUCAAAUGUUCAUGCCCCAUGCUUUGGGACUCGUUUUUAUAGGACGUGGCUAGACAGCGCCUGCGCGCUCGAUGGGGCGUUCGGGCACACCUUCCAUAAAAUCUAAGUACAGUCCAAUUACACGCAUCACAUACUAAAACAGGAAAAGCACCUGAUCCCCGUGUCUGCUCGCGCUCUCCUGCCCGGUGAUCCCUCAGGAAUAUCCCGCAUGCAUGCAUUAAUUGGGGUUUCAAUUUUUUUAAAGGCAUAAGUUUUUGAUUCGAGCGUCGAAAUUUCGAACCGUUUUCACCGUUGGGUUUCCCGCGACGGAUUCUUCAAAACUAGAUCCCGUUUGAGUAGGUUUCGACGAAAUUCUUUUGAGCAACUUUGGGUGCAAUGGAGAAAACUUUAGUGGUAUAGAAAAGCAACUCCUUGUUUUUGGCAUAGUAGAAAUGCCUAUUAGGUUGGUUUGUGUAAAAACGAAAAAAAUCAAGCGAAACAUGAGGCGUCUUAGUGCUACAUGCAAAGCAACUUCACUGCGCUAUGUGUACAUGUGAAUUUUGCUAACAUUAUCCCAAUUUGUCUAUCGUGAUUGCUCAGUUGCCUGUCAUUGGUCGUUAGUGGCCUAUGGUUGACUCUCAGUUACCUACAAAUACUAUGGAAUUGACUACCAUUUAUGACCAAUUGUUUGCUAUUGGUAAUUGGUUGUCCAUCAUUGCUGCUGAGUUGCCAAUCAUUGAUCAUUAGUUGCCUAUGGUUGAGUCUCGGUUGCCCCCAAAUACUAUGAAAUUGCCUACCAUUGAUGCUCAGUUGCUUGCUAUUGGUAAUUAGUUGCCUAUCAUUGCUGCUCAGAUGUCUAUCGUUGAUCGUCACUUGCCUACAGUUGAGUCACAGUUGCCUACAAGUACUAUGAAAUUUCUUACCAUUGAUGCUCAGUUGCUUGCUAGUGAUAAUUAGUUGCUUACCAUUGAUGCUUUGUUGCCUAACUUUGCAAAUUAGUUGCCUACAAAUAAUGUGAAGUUGUUUAUCAUUGUUUUUCUAACUUGCCUACGAACAUUAUGAAGUUUAGUUGCCUACCAGUGACGCUUAGUUGCCUGGCACUACUAUUUCAGUUGCCUAUAAUACAUUGAAAAGUUGUCCAUUAAUGUUGCUAAGUUGCCUAUCUAUGAAACUAUGUUUCUUACAAUACCAAAAAUUCUUGCAUGAAGGAUGAUGUGAAGGAAGUGGCUAGUCAUGACAGGCAAUUUGGAUAAUGUUAGUCUACUUCAAAAACUAAGCUGCCUACAAUAUUAUCAACUUGGAGGCAAACACAAGUUAUGGAAGUAUAUUUACUAGUUAUGGUAGGAAACUUAGAGGUGAAGCUAGUUAACUUGGUAGUUAUGGUUGUCAACUUCAAAGGGAUUUUUGAUGAUAGGCAGUCAUAUUACACAAACUAACAAGAAGUUGCUUUCCUGUAGCACUAAACUUGCUUCUGUAGCACCCAAAGUUGCUCGCCAAAAAAAAAUUGUCAACACAUACUCAUAUGGGAUCUAGUUUUGAAGAGCUCGUCGCGGAGAACCUAGCUGUGAAAACGGAUCUUAAUUUUGAUGCUCCGUUCAGUUAUAGCUUUUUAAAAAAAAUUAAAAAAAUAAAUGCAUGCAGGUUUAUAUUUUUCUCACACAUGAAGUCACUAGACGUUCUUUGCAUGUCUCAUUUGUGAAGAGAAUUCACGGGAUGAUGCCCUCAUGAAAAGAGUUUAAGUGUGUUAGGGUCUUAGGGACCAUGUGGUAGAUGACAGAGAGGGAGACAAGGGUGUGCGCUCGCUUUAACAUAAUAGCGUAGCUGCAUUUUUAAGUAUUUAGUUUUCUUUAUUGCUUCGGUGGUCUCGAUGGUAGAGAUUACAUGGGAUAUCUCGAGUGUAUAUAGUAGCUAACCUGGCCAACCAGUAGUCCUACUCGCUCAUGGUUUAGGAAACUUACAUGGACACAUGCACAUACACGUGCACGGAAUGGACACGGACAAGCAGUCGUGUUUAAUCCUAAUAAUAUCCACCUCAUCAGCGUCCCUGUUGUACCGUCUCCCCUCUCCCACCCCAUUGACCCCAACCAACACCACUCGCCUCCGACACAUAUCGACCUAGAUGUCGUCUGCUUCCCAAAAAUAUCUUACCCCCCAGCAACACCCAACCCUAUGUUGCGCCGCCGCAUACCCCCAACACCAAUUGCAAAAACCCAACAGUCGAACACUCGUAGGGUGGAGAGGCAGGAGCACCGAAUAGAUCUGCAGAAAUCUGCAUGUACUUGUCUUACUGUAUAUUGUAUGGGCUAUGCUUUACAAUGUGUUAGUACUUAUGGAAGCAUAUAUGUUUCGAGGUUACAGAUUAGUUGUAUACUACUCCCUACUAUAAAGUUAGUACAAAGUUGAGUCAUCUAUUUUGAGACGGAGGGAGUAGUCAUCAACCCGUGCACUUGCACGGGCUAGUUUAUAACAAUGCAUUAGCUAAACCAUUUAGAAGAAUAUUGCAAUGAAUAUAGAGACUUGGUGAUAUGCUCUUGAAAGUUUAAUUAGUUAACACUACAGUUUGUUUUGUAACAUGUGCAUCGUCAGUAGUUGCCCAAUUAUACUUCAUUCUACAACAGAUGCAAGAACCAGAAUCUUAAAAUUGUUUAGGCAUCCUCAAGAAGAAGCAAUAUUUCUACAACUAAUAUAGCCCGAAAGAUAAAUAUUAGAAAUUGAUAGUUUCAUUUACUUAAUUAAUAGUUCUCAUAUGGUUCCUUUUCAUGGCGUUCGAAUUAAGUAUAUCUUUUUAUAAAGCUCACAAUAAUAAUCGUAUAAACGAUAUCAAAACAUCUAUAUGAGCUUCAUUCUUUUUGUAGCAGACUUCGUCACACAAACACGUGCGCACAGGAAACCAAAAGAAAAGAAUAGAACGAACAUACACAAUAGAAACUUGAAAAGUUUUACAUGUAAUAGUGGUAUUUGUCAUUUCUUUUAUCCACUCAAGAACCAUCUGAAUUUACCCCAUGUCUAUGCUACACAGUUUUUGUCUGUAUGACCCUGCAUCCAUUCAUCAAAUAAUUGAAAGAGUACCACAUGAGCUACCAAAUUGCCUUUCUCUCACAAAAAGGCUGCGGAAUUAUCUAUAUCUUAUUCCUGUCACCCAAGAUGCAUCUGGAAAGUGAUCCAAGUUAGUAACUAAAGAGUUCAUGUAGUGAUUUAAUGUUGUACAUAGAUAAUCUAAGAUGCAAUUUGAUAACAAUCAGAAUUUAUUUUAUUUAAUUUUUAAUUAAAACCACCAAUUAUCCUACAACAUAACAGGAUAAUAACCUUUCUAAGAAAGCUGCCAGGUCAUUUUACACAUGGAAGGAUAGUUUUUGCAUUUGUUCACUUCCCUAAUAAGUCAAAGUGCUGCAUAAAAUAGAAAGCACAUUGAUUAACGUAAUUGAAAAUUACUAUAAUUGUGGGUUAGAAAUAGUACUAAAUGUUAUGACCAUGUAGAACAAUAUAAAACAAUAGUUUUCUUUAAUAUAGUAUUAUUAAUGGAUGAUGAACUGACUAUUAAUACGUAUAUGAACAAUGUCAUACAAACAAGAAAACAACCCAACAAACAUGAGCUAUCAAUUGCAUCCAUGUUUGUGUGUUGACUAGGUUCUUGAUACAUAUCAUUAUGUAUUAUCCUAGUACUUCCUCCGUCCAGAAUUAGUUGCUGAUCAAACAAAUGUAUCUAGAUAUAUUUCAGUACUAGAUACAUCCUGUUGAGCGCAUACUAAUCCUGGGCGGAGGGAGUAGAAAUUAUGAAAGAUAGUACGCAGUGUACAAUACUUUUAGUUUGUAAUUGAUAUUGGAGUCGUCCUUUCGCAUGCCAGACCUACACUGAAAAAUCAGGGCAACAUACUUCUGUUUUCUUGCAAAUGGAAUGGCUAAUAACUGAAUGUAUACAAAGAUAAUAUUACUUAUAAUAUUCUCUCUAUCCUAGUCAUACCAAGUAUACAAAAUAGUGUACAUUAAAUCUUGACCAUAUAAUAAUACAUGUUUCAUACUGUCACUAUAAUUAAUGAAACCGUUAUGUCCCAAAUCAAUAUCAAUCUUAGCACCCUUGUAUGUCCUGAGACCUCUUUCAAUGCAAAGGUGCUUAGAUGAGGUGCUAAGUACAUUAAAUACCAUAGCAACUCAACUCCCCAAUGCAUAGGUGCUUUACUUGUUGUUGCUAAGCACACUUUAUUUAAUGAGUUAGCACCUAAAGUCUUUCAUGCAUUGGUCAAAUUGUUUCAUCUAAGUGGUUUGCCUAGGUUCUCGUGCUUGGCAUUGGUUCUUUUGUGGGUCACCAAUGUACUCUCUCCCCUCCUUAAAUGUUGCGCCAUAUCAUUUUUUCUCUUAUGCGACAUGCUUAGCACAUGUCCAUGGUGGAGCACUGGGAAGGGCAAUAGAUUGGACGUAGCUCCUGUAGCAUCUGUAUCUGCUAAGGGCCUCUUUGAUUCAUAGGAUUGCAAAAACACAGGAAUAGGAAAAAUGUAGGAUUGGAAUGGCAUGUCCAUUGGAUCUCUAUAGGAUUUGAGUUUGUUUGAUUGUGUCACAGGAAAAACAAAGGAUUGCUUCCAAGAGGUUGGAGUGGAUGUAAGAAUUCCUGUGAAAUGUAGUACAAAUGAACCUUUAGGAAAAAAUCCUACGGGAUUCAAUCCCACGAAUCAAACGACCAACGUAGGAAAAAUUCCUAAAGAUUCUAAUCCAUCAAAGAUCCUAUGAAAAUCCUUUGAAUCAAAGAGACCAUAAUUGUGAUGCAUGGGAAAAUCGAAGUCCACCAGGAAACCCGUAGUCUAGCACCUGGGCAUAGGGCCGCUGGUGUACCCGACCAUGGAGCCGGUACACGGUGGUGUACAACAUGCAGUGCCGCAUCAUCGCUGGCAUUACGUGCAGCAGCUCAUGUUUCCUUCCUCAAGAAGGCCGUGGCAGCCCUUCAGGUUGAUUUUGGCAGAGGUACCACAUGUCCUCCCAUGCUGAGUCGCAAAAGUCAGUGUACCGGUCGCAGAUCGGCUGCUGCUGCGCUACGAUGAUACCGGACGGCUAGAUUCGCUCGGUCGUUUCCAAUGUUAUCCUACACGGUUGCAGUUCACCCUGCAAUCUGCGACGUAGGGCCAAUUCUUUUGCUGGCUUCUAAAAUAAGCUGGAAUAAACUGCCCCCUAUCCAGCUUAUUCUAGAAGUUCAACCAAAUUUAUUUGUUUAGAAGCCUAAUAGUUAAGACUUGACUAAUAGGCGUCUACAAUGAAAACUUUGGUUGGGCUUUUAGAAUAAACUGCCACCUACCCAGCUUAUUCUGGAAGCCCAAAAAAGCUAGCAAAAGAACUGGCCUGUAGUGGCAUGGCUUAGUUGACCUCAGCGCUCACAUGCAGUCUCCCUGAUCGAACGUGUGCGCCUGAUCUUUGCAGCUAGAGGAUAUUCUUCUCGAAGCAGCCAGAAACGAUAAAAAUCGAGAAGACGACGGCCGCGUGACAUGGAGAGACAAGUAAGAGCAUGGUUAAUAGUAUAGCCAGCUGCUGGCUAUAAGCCAGUGCCAUGUCAUCUACAGCCCAUCUUAUAGUCAACAUGUAUAAUAGUAGAUCAAAAGAGUGUACUACUUUUUUAUUAUGUGGCCCACCUUUCAUUCUCACAAAGUGCCUAGGAGCACGUGCUAGAGCUGGCUCUUCGCGAAGAGCCCGCUUACCUUCUCUCUCCUCUUCUCUUUCCUCCAACUAAGCAGAAAUAUACUAGUUUAUUCCUUAUAGCCCGCUGACUCAGCUCUAUUAUACUUGCUCUAAGAGAGAGGUCGAGGAGAGAUUGGUUUCUGUGACGGGCGUGGAGAAAGAGGAGAGAGGUAGUGGAGAGAUUGAUUUUUUUUGCUUGCAGAAAAGAGAUUGUUUUUUUACAGGGUGCAAAGAGAUUGAUAAUUUGAUAAUGCUUUGAACGAACUCUAGGGAAGAUCUCGAUCGUAAUAAGUCGGUCCCACCAAAAAUUAGUGGCUCUUAAUUUCUAAUUAAUGUGUAAAUUUUUUGGGCGUGCCAUAGAUAGAUAGAUAGAUAGAUAUAGAUAUACAUAUAUAUGUAUAUUUUUUUAGAAUCAUAGAUACAAGCGGGCCUUAUUUCAGCACUAAUAUGGAACUUCCUUCGUCCCAUAAUACUCCUACACUAAGGCUAGUCAUAAUGGGGAGUAACUUAGACUAGUGUCAUGCAUACGACACUAGUCUUUGUUACUACCUUCAUUAUGAAAAGUAAAAUAGUAGUAGUAUCAUAGAUAAAUAUAUUUAUUACAUUGUAGACUCAUUUUGCUUUGAGUGGUGUUAUGUUUACAGUAACAUAUUAUGUUAUCCAAACUUCUCUCUCCUCAUUAACUAUACGCCACGUAAGCAAACUUGUCUUGAAAUGCGCUAUGUUACUUGUUAAGUUACUUUCACUAUGACUAACCCAAAGUAUAAUCGCUCUUGUGUUAUUUUUUCUUGAUACGCAUAAGCAUGUGUAUCAUAUAUUAAAGAAGGAGCUGCAAAGAAGCCAGAUACAACGCCUUUCGGCCAUUUCCACGCCAAUCACAAAGAUUAGCAUCCACAUCCAGCCAACACACCCACCAGGCUAACUAUGAUACAUGCUAUACCUAGGCCAACCUCAUACCGAAGGCAAUGAUGCAAGCCACAUAGCAACCAGGCCACGUCACAACCGAGGCCGGAGACCUCUACCACAAGACCAAGACUCGAGGACAACGCAGACCAACGUACCCCACCCAAUGCGCCAAGAAGAAGUCGGCAAGUGAACGGCAGGGCCUGAGCAGACCUAAAGAUGGCGUCAUCCAGAGGGCGCUAGCGAUAGUGUUAUAGGACGGAAGGAGUAGUUUUUUGGGGUGAAUCCUACACUAAAGUAUGCGAAAGUUCUAAACCAACGGAGUUUUACGGGCAUAUUACGUGGUCUCUUCGUUAACCAAUCUUCAACCCCUCCCCCCUCCCUGAUUUUCAGGGGGGUGUGGGCCCCUCAUCAUGAUUUCCUCCAAUCAAAUGGUCCUAGCUAAAGCCUUCUCAUAAAAGUCCGUUGUCCUGUGUCCAUGUGCGAAAAUUCUAACCCAAUGGAUUCUUAGGGGCCUAUUAGGGGGUUUGUUCGUUAACUAAUCUCCACCCCCNNNNNNNNNNNNNNNNNNNNNNNNNNNNNNNNNNNNNNNNNNNNNNNNNNNNNNNNNNNNNNNNNNNNNNNNNNNNNNNNNNNNNNNNNNNNNNNNNNNNNNNNNNNNNNNNNNNNNNNNNNNNNNNNNNNNNNNNNNNNNNNNNNNNNNNNNNNNNNNNNNNNNNNNNNNNNNNNNNNNNNNNNNNNNNNNNNNNNNNNNNNNNNNNNNNNNNNNNNNNNNNNNNNNNNNNNNNNNNNNNNNNNCAUUCUUUCUUUCAAUCAAAAGGAUCCAGCUAAUCUUCCCCGUAAGGUCACAAUGGGCAGGAACUUAGGAGUAACAUCACACACUCCAAUACAAGUUUGCUUAUGUGGCACAUAUUAAAUGAAGAGAGAGGUACUUGUGGUAACUAGCUAAGUUACCGGAACAUCACACACUCCAAGAAACAAGGAGUCUAUAUCCUAAUAAAUACAUCGCUGCAUGACGCUACCUACAUGUUCCUACCCACUAUGAAGGUAGUAACAUAGUCUAGAAAACUGUGUAGGUUACUAGCUUAUGUUCCUGCCCAUUGUGACCAGCCUAAAAGCCCGUUGUCAUGUGUCCGUGCGUGUAGCAAAGCUCGUCUGUGUGUGUAGCAAAGCUCGACGGCGCGCAUUCAUAAGUACGGGACAGCGCACGCGCAUUCAUUCAUAGGUCCAACAAUGGGUGAGUCACUCAGUAUAAAAGCAUGGCCACGCCGCGCAUUCUAAGCACAAAGUUGUGUAGGGCUUGGCUAAGAACCGUUGCAAAGCAAGCAACCAAUGCAUGUGCCUGCAACGGUGGCUUCACUGUACAGAAUGCAAAUGGAGGCCGUCUACCUCGGCUUAGCUCUGGUAUCCUUGUGUAUCGUGCUUCUUUCCAGGCGCGCGCGCAGGUGGUCGGCAUCGAACGAGGCGCCGGGGCCGUGGCGGCUGCCGGUGAUCGGCAGCCUGCACCACCUCAUCGGGCAGCUCCCCCACCGCGCGAUGCGCGACCUAGCGCGGCGCCACGGGCCGGUGAUGCUCCUCCGGCUCGGGGAGGUGCCCACGCUGGUAGUGUCGUCCCCGGAGGCCGCCCGCGAGGUGAUGAAGACCCACGACAUGCUGUUCGCGACGCGGCCCCUCAACUCCACCAUGAGCGUGCUCACCAACGGCGGCCGGGACAUCGUGUUCGCGCCCUACGGCGACCACUGGCGGCAGCUCCGGAAGAUCGCCGUCCUGGAGCUCUUGUCGCCGGGGCGGGUCCUGUCCUUCCGCGCCAUCCGCGAGGAGGAAGUCGCCGCCAUGCUCCACGAUGUCGCCGACGCCGCGGCGGCCGCGCGCCCCGUGGAGCUGCACGCGUGCCUCUCCGUGGUGGUCUCCAACAUCACGGUCCGCGCCGUCAUGGGUGACUACAGGUUCAAGCAGCGCGAGGAGUUCAUCCGCGCGCUCCACCACUCCCAGAAGCUCGCCGCGGGGUUCAACCCGGCGGACCUGUGGCCGUCGUCCCGGCUUGCCGGCUGGCUCAGCGGGGGCUUGCGCCGCGCCAAGGAGAUCCGCGCUACCGGGAAUGGCAUCCUCGACACCAUCAUCCGAGAGCGGCUCGAGAGGACGACUGAAGGUGGCGGAGGCGAGAACAAGGACCAUCACCUGGUGGAUGUGCUGCUAAGCAUGCACAAGGAGGGCAGGCUCGACAUGGACGCCGUGAAAAACAUCAUCUUCGUAAGUAGCUAGAGACUCUUUAACUAGCUAGACCAGAAGCUCCCAUGCAUCCUCAAAUACUAUGCAACUGUAAUUGGUUGGCGCGCGCAUGCAGGACAUAUUCAGCGCCGGCAGCGAGACGACAGUCAUAGAGUGGGCGAUGGCAGAGCUGAUGAGGAACCCAGAGGCGAUGCGGAAGGCCACGGCUGAGGUGCGGCGAGCUUUGGAGGCCCGCGGCAGCGUAGAGGAGCACGCCCUUGGCGAGCUCCCGUACCUGCACCUGGUCAUCCGGGAGGCGCUGCGGCUGCACGCGCCCACGCCGCUGCUCAUCCCGCGGGAGUGCCGGGAGCCAUGCCAGGUGCUCGGCUACGACGUGCCGCGAGGAACGCAGGUGUUCGUCAACGCAUGGGCGAUAGCCCGCGACGAGCGGUACUGGCCCGACGCGCCGGAGGAGUUCCGGCCGGAGCGGUUCGAGGGCGAGGGCGCCGUGGACUUCAGGGGCAACGACUUCUCCUUCCUGCCAUUCGGCUCCGGCCGGAGGAUGUGCCCGGGGAUGGCGUUCGGCCUCGCCAUCAUCGAGCUCACGCUCGCGAGCCUGCUGUUUCACUUCGACUGGGAGGUCUUGCCGGGUGCGGCGGGCGAGCUCGACAUGGCCGAGGUGUUUGGCCUCGCGGCGCGCCGGAAGGCCGACCUCCCGCUGCGCCCUGUCCUGAGGGUGCCCGUUCCUGGACUCUAGCGCCUGCGCGUCAAUCUAUCUGUUCCACACGGUAAGAGGGCAUUAUAUUGCACCUGCAUCAAUGCAUGCGCUUAAAUAAAUUACAGUAAUAUCUGUAUAAAUGUCAUCAAAAUAAGAUUGUCUAUCGUACGUACAGUAUGCAUAACAUAAAGUCUUGGCACGUACGCAUGCAUAUCUGUUCAAGUGUUGGCUUAUCAAUCUUAUUAUUAUGUUUGCAAUUGGGCUUACUGGAGCUUAGUUUCCCACGAGCCCGCGAUUUGUGUUGGCCGUGCUAGCUUGUAAACUCUUGGUCAAUGUAUUUUCUCGAUUGUAUUUAUGAUUUAAGAGCAUUUCGAAAACAGUGCAGUACUCGUUGAGUGGCAUAGAGCAUAUUUUCGUUUACAAAAGUCAAACUGUUCCUCGGAAUGAUGGAAAUGCACAACGAGAUAACGCCUUUUCAGUUUUCACACAGAACAACUUUUCAAAUCCUUGACGGUUUAAGAGCAAUUUUUAAAAUGUUAAUCGCGAGCUGAUUUUUUUUGUCGGCACACAUGCGAACUCAUCUGAAGAGCAACCAAACUACAGGCGCCUUUUUCUUUUUGCGAUUCAAUGAGCUUUAUGGAUCAAAUAUCAGAAUUACAAUCCCGCUGAAGAGUUUCAGCAAGAAAGAGGGGGCGGGGGUGUAAUUAAGCCAUAAGCAUCUACAUCUGGACUCCUCGCUCUCUUUGCACAAAGAUGCGCUGCACUAUUAUCAUCCCUCCCAAUAAAGCUCAGAGUAAAACUUAAGAAACUAGCACUCAUCUCCUUAAUAUUUUUUCCUGUAUGCUUCCAACUUACGCUCUAUCAAAAUUAUUGUCCUUCCAAAGGUUGACAAUACACUGGGCAUCUGUAUCAACAUGGACCUGUUGAAUAACUUGCUCCACUGCCAACUGUGUAGAGUCUCUCACUGCGGGCGCCUAUGCAUUCCCUGAUCCCAAAACUGAUCAACCUCACGAGAUGGACAAGUGAACUGCAACAGGACAGUACAGUCCCCGAUGGGGGAAAAUGAACUUCGGCACAAAAACAAAGGGUGUGUUUGGUUAUCUAUGAAUUUGCUUGCAUUGCAUACAUGUCCCAGUUCAGCCUGGUUGAAGGAAAACAUGCAAAAAAUAUAUCCAAAAAAGCAAUGGAGCAGAAAUGCAAUAGUAAGCAUGCAUGAUCAUAAGAGGCACAGCAAGUUCAACCUAGCAAUAUUAUGGUGUCAUCCUACCACCACAUCCAAAAAAGGGUGUAAUCUUACCACCGCAAGUUCGCCAUCAGUGUGAGGGGUUACUAUAUACCACCUCAGCAAAAUAUACAGAUCAACAAAUAGUUUUCAAGCCCUAGCUACACAAAAUAUACAUCAUCGUCGCCAUUGCCAUUGCUAUCGCCGUCGAGGAUCAUGCACGCAAAGUGCGAUGUUUUCAGUUGGCCGUGCGACACUGCAGAUACCUACACCGCAAAGUCCACCUACAAGCGGCUGUGCCAUGGCUUGACCCGCUCUGUUGCUGUCAAUCGUAUCUGGAGAAGCUGGGCGCCACUCAAAUGCAAAAUCGCUUGGUUGGCUUCCCAGUGCCGGAUGUGGACGUCGGACCGAAGAGCUAGACAUGGACUACAAGAGGCCGCGUCGGCAUGCUACACCUGCUGCUAGGAAGAGGACACAGUUGAUCACAUACUAGCUCAUUGCGUCUAUGCGAGGUGGAACGGUUGCUUCGAGUUCUUACAAGUCAACAUACAAAUUCCAAGUCACGAUGACACUUUCAUAGAGUGGUGGGAGAGGACGCGUGAUUCCUUUUGAGGCAAGGUCAAAAGAGGGUUCGACUCCUUCGUCAUUGCGACCGCGUGGCACCUAUGGAAGCAAAGGAACAAAGAGUGUUCGAUAGGGACGACCAAGUUAGAUCGAACGCUAGCCUAGUGCAACAAAUCUUCGAGGAGAUCAAACUGUGGAAACUAGCGGGAGUAGGUGUUUAGGAAUUAGCUAGAUUUGUGAGAGAGUUGGCUUUAUAUUUUUCUUAGAGUCGGAGGUCCCGUGUAGACGUUCAUUGUCAUUCACGGUCUCUUGUAAUCUAUAUUUCUCCCUUCUAUAAAAAUACAGUACGCCUUUGAUGUACUCUCGAAAAAAAACCGCAACCUCGAUGUCCUAGAAUGUUGCACAUCAGUUUAAUGCACACAUGUAUUAGUAUCCCAUAUUUCCUACUCCCUCCGUCACGGUUUAGAAGGCACACUUCAGUUUUUAUGCAUUUUCAGAAAAGGAGAGGAUUAAGGCGUGUGGGCAAUUAAUGCUGAGUUCAUCAGGCCGUUUUGAGUGCGCGUAGGUUGCAUCCCAAGCACGCGGUCCUUUUUCUCCACCACUGCAUGCGUUAGGACUGCUCGUUUACUGGCAAGGAAUUAUAAAUGCAUGUAUGCCCGCAAAAAGUUAGCAGCGACAACGACCAAAUGUCGCCGUGUCCAAGACAUCCUUAUCAACAGGGGCGGACCCAGGACAAAAAUGACCCGGUGUCCACAUGUACAUUACAUACAUGUGGAUAUCAAGCAAUGUUAUACAUAAAAGUCACACACUCAUCAAAUACACAGGCACUUUCCAUCACUGGUUUUGAACAUUGUAAUAGGGAAUCAAUUAUUGUUGCUAAUGAGCUUGCGAGGGGAGCUGAGUUCUCUACAACUUAUGACUGGUUUCAGGAGCAUCUGAAUGAUAUUGUAUCCCUCCUCAUAGAAAAUAUAACUGUUAUUCAAUUAAAUAAAACUCUACUUUUGUUAAAAAAAACAUGGGCACUUGUUCUUUUUAUUAAUAUCUAAUCAUGUUUUUUCUUUGUGAAAGUCCACAAGUGACAUUCAGUAAUAAGCAGCUCAUAUCCGAAAAUUGCGUUGGGUGCACGUACAGUGGGUUUAUCUGUAUACAAGUAUAUUUGUAGAGCUAGCGAGGCAGGCUAACCAUCCGUCGAUGACAACUCGGAGAUUUUGAUGAUGAUCUCCUCUAGAAGCGACGGACACGUGCUUUUUAGAUCCUUGAACCCCUUAGUUUCCACCACUUCCUCUAGCACAUGCGGCUGCGAGAUGUGCUCCAUGCAGAAGUCCUUGAGCCCCUGGCAAAGGUGGCAGUCCGCCAGCUUCAACGUGCCCACCACAUUCUUGCCGUGACGUGCUCGCAAUGUUCUCGCACAUGGCCUUCAUCCUCUCCAAGCCGAACCGGUCCGCCGCAGCUAGCAUCUCCCGAGCCAUUGUCGUGGUGUUUCCCAAGUGCUCGGGCAGCUCGUCGGUGUAGAUGAAGUCGAGAAUGGACCUAAAAAUGUGGGCCUCUAUGUCAUCCAUCCUAACGCAAUGGUCCAUGGUGUCGGCCUCCGCGCCAUGGCUUUGUGCAGGACCGGCGCACGCACGGCGAUCACAAGCCGGUGUGCGCGGAGCUCGGUGUCUCCAACCAGGAAUGUGACGUCGGAGCCCUACUCGCUCACCAGUAGCUUCUCCAGGUGCGAGUUGAUGUUGGACGACGGCACGGCGAUCGUUGUCGCGGUAGCUCCGGUGGUGAUGGUAUUGGUGCAGGGGUACUCCUUGGUGACCGAGACGUCGCAGUGUAUGGUGAGGGAGCCGUCGUGUCCGACGUAGCAUGACUUGGUAGACGCCAGGUCAAAGAACUUGUGCAUUCCCACGAAUUUAUGCGUAGUGUACAAGUCAUCAAUCCAACAGAAGACCGGUGGCAAUUUGCCGCUCGGGUCACACAUCUUCAAGGUACACGCCACCCACACGUCGCCAGCAGCUUCAGGAGGACUAGUUAUCAUCUUGAGGAACAGGCCUAUGUGCUCCUCUUCGUCUUCCUCCUUGCGCCCGUCGUGGAUUCCCGACGGGUAGAGGAGGAUAAUCCAGCCAUGACCGCCGAUCUGGAAAGUGCCAGAUCGGAUGCAUUCGUCGACGCCGAACCUCCUCUGCAUGGCACUGAAGUUUGGGAUCCUGAACUCGUGCGUGCCUUUGAACGUCUCCGACGAGUUCAACAUGGACGCGCUCUUUUGUGGCUGCUGAGUAUAGCUGCUACUGGCCAUUGAGGAGGAGGAAGAAGAUGACGAUGACGACGACGACAAUGAUGAUGACGACGACAAUGACGAUGAUGAAGAGGAGGUGUUCGUGCAGGGAACCACUGCCCGCGUCCAUAUUUUCUCUAAGACGUCGGACACAAAGACGCCACACGUUUCCUUGAGCUCCUUGUACUCCUCCGUUGCCACCACGGCGGCGUAGACAUUGGGGUCGGACGUCAUGUACUCAACGCAGGCGGCCUCUAGCUGCCGGAAGCUAUCUCGGCCGUGCACCAGCAUCAGUGUCGUCAUCACAGAUCUGGCGUUCAUGUUGUCUGCAAGUAUCUUCUCGCGCAUGAGCCUCAGCCUCUCCAGGUCGUACCAAUCCGUGGCCACGAGUAAAUCACCUGCCAUGCCCAGGUGGUUGCCGUUUUUUUGCUUUGAGCUCGUCGGUGUAGAUGAAGUGCAGCAUGGCCCUGAAUGUGGAGGCGGUCAUGUCGUCGACAGUGACGCGGGAGCGCGCGGCGCUCUCCUUCAUCUCCCUGAGCAGCUCGGCGGCGAACACCGGCGACCGCAUGGCGAGCACGAGCCUGUGCGCCCGGAUCUCGGUCUGCUCCUCCACCACGAACGUCACGUCCGUCGCGAAGCGCGUGUCCGACUUGUCUGCCUUCAACGACUGCGACUCAUCCAGGAGCUUGCGGAGAUCACGGAGGAUGCUGGGCGGCGGCACGAUGGAGACGGAGCAGUCCUUAGUCGCGGCCUCGUCGGCCUCCUCUUGGAGGACGUCGACGGUGCAGUGGAUGGUGAGCCGGUCGUCCCUGACGUAGAGUGACUCCCGGAACGCGUCGGGGACGGGCAGCUCCCAGUAGCUUUUGCCGGUGCACUCAUCGGGGUCGUCGUCGUACCCACGACCGCGGGCGGCGGCGAGGAAGGUUUUGGCCACGGCGCUCCGCCACACGGCAGGCGGCCACCGGCGAGGACCGCCCUUCAUCUCCGGCAGUGCCGGGUCGUCGAUCCGGAGGCUGGCCCUGGUGACCACGUCGUGGCCGUCGUUGGAGACGAGCUGGAGGGUGAUGCAGACGAGCUGGAUCUGGUCCCCGGAACCGCGACGCCGCGCGUAGGCAUAGGGGUCGUCGAAGCAGCAGAUGAGGGCCCAGGUGCAGCCGCCGGCCUGGAAGUCGGCCGACCUGACGGUGUUGCGGACGCCGAGGUCCUUGCGCGCGCGGUAGCCGACGAUGUCGAAGCUGUGCCGACGGCCUCAUCUAUGCCGACGGCCCCUAUGCCUACGCGCGGCGUCCAAGGACAGGCCGUAGGCGUAGAGAAGCCGUCGGCAUAGGUCCAUCUAUGCCGACGGGGCCGUCGGCAUAGACGUGGCCGUCGGGACCGCUCGAGAUAUGCCUACGGGGACCGUCGGCAUAGGCGCGGCCGUCGGCAUAGCCCGGGCCCACCUACCCGGUCAGCGCUGACCGUUUGACGGCGUUGAAACUACGUCGACGGGAGGUAACGGCGGCCGUCGGCAUAUCUAUGGCAGAGGUAUGCCUACGGCAUAGCCGUCGGCAUAGACCUGGCCCAUGCCCCUCUGCCACGUCAUCGAUCCGUGUGCGCAGCUAUGCCGUCGGCAUAUAUUUAUUUUUAAUUUUGCUUUAUACUAUCUAUGGCAAAGGUAUGCCUACGGCAUAGCCGUCGGCAUAGGCCGCUCUGCCACGUCAUCGAUCCGUGUGCCAUGCCACGUCAUUGAUCCGUGGGACUGCCUCUCCGUGUGUGCACAGAUAUGCCGACGGCCUUGCCGUCGGCAUACAUUUAUUUUACUUUAUUUUUUUAUUUUUACUUUAUUUUGUAUUUUUACUUUAUUUUAAUUUUUGUUUUUCCAUAAGAUAAUUAUGCCUUAUCUACAAAAACGUACCCCGAUGGUAUAUCGAUUGCCCCCCAUUACGAACGUCGCUAUCGCCGUGUCAUGGAGGGGGGAAACUGUCGACACGGAGGGAAUUCUGGUUGGUGGGGGAUUCGGGGUGUAGCUAUGUCACCGAAACAUCGCACGGGUCCCGAUGCAUAUGUGAAAAUGUUCAGGCAUGCGUAGACGCCCGUCUUGGGGCUCCGCGGUGUGCCCCCCUGCACGCAAGGCAGUGCCGGCGUCACUUGGAGGGGGCCAAACCCCAGAGACGCGUGCCGCCUUUUCGGACAUGCCACCACACCACCCCGCAUGUAUGGGGGCCCGGUGCGACCCUCGGGUGGCAUUGCUACCCCCCAGGCCCCCCGUCCCGCCUAACCCUGUAGCGUUUGACCACGGGAUCUAGCCCUUUGACUUUGCACGGACGGGCUUUGAGCAGUGGACCUAUCCACCUGGUUGUGUUAGGUAAGCCCAUAGGAACACUUUGGAGCAACAUCCGGGCCAGACCCACAGCAAGAUCCCCUCCGUGUAGACCCGACGCGUCCGUUUUCCCCCUCCAGGUGCCGGCGGCGGCGCCGUCCGUGAGGGGGGGCACACCCCGGAGACGCGUGCCGGGCGUUUGCACCCGCCACAACACUUCCAGACUUGUGAGAGGCCGCCUACGCAAGAUUUGGCGGCAUGCUAGCCCCCGGAGGCCGCCGGCCAUAGUCGUAGACACGCGAAGAGCAAUCCGCAUAGAGGGAAUUGUUCAGAUACUACUCCAUCACGAACAAUUAUGAAAAAUUACCAUCAGUCCUACAGCACAUGUGCCCGCGUCGUGUAAAAAACUCAUGAUUUUAUCGCGCUCCGAGUAUUUAAUAAUAUUCACGCCGCAUCGUUACCGCAGAACGUCUACUACCGUGUCAUCGCCGUUCGUGAGGGGGGGCACCCCCCGGAGACGCGUGCCGCCUCUUCGGACAUGCCACCACACCACCCCGCAUGUAUGGGGCCCNNNNNNNNNNNNNNNNNNNNNNNNNNNNNNNNNNNNNNNNNNNNNNNNNNNNNNNNNNNNNNNNNNNNNNNNNNNNNNNNNNNNNNNNNNNNNNNNNNNNNNNNNNNNNNNNNNNNNNNNNNNNNNNNNNNNNNNNNNNNNNNNNNNNNNNNNNNNNNNNNNNNNNNNNNNNNNNNNNNNNNNNNNNNNNNNNNNNNNNNNNNNNNNNNNNNNNNNNNNNNNNNNNNNNNNNNNNNNNNNNNNNNNNNNNNNNNNNNNNNNNNNNNNNNNNNNNNNNNNNNNNNNNNNNNNNNNNNNNNNNNNNNNNNNNNNNNNNNNNNNNNNNNNNNNNNNNNNNGCGUUUGACCAUGGGAUCUAGCCCUUUGACUUUGCACGGACGGCUUUGAGCAGUGGACCUAUCCACCCGGUUGUGUUAGGUGAGCCCAUAGGAACACUUUGGAGCAACAUCCAGGCCAGACCCACAGCAAGAUCCCCUCCGUGUAGACCCGACGCGUCCGUUUCCCCCCUCCAGGUGCCGGCGGCAGCGCCGUCCGUGAGGGGGGGCACACCCCGGAGAUGCGUGCUGGGCGUUUGCACCCGCCACAACACUUCCAGACAUGUGAGAGGCCGCCUACACAAGAUUUGGCGGCAUGCUAGCCCACGGAGGCCGCCGGCCACAGUCGAAGACACGCGAAGAGCAAUCCGCAUAGAGGGAAUUGUUCAGAUACUACUCCAUCACGAACAAUUAUGAAAAAUUACCAUCAGUCCUACAGCACAUGUGCCCGCGUCGUGUAAAAAACUCAUGAUUUUAUCGCGCUCCGAGUAUUUAAUAAUAUUGACGCCGCAUCGUUACCGCAGAACAUCUACUACCGUGUCAUCGCCGUUCGUGAGGGGGGGCACCCCCCGGAGACGCGUGCCGCCUCUUCGGACAUGCCACCACACCACCCCGCAUGUAUGAGGGCCCGGUGCGACGCUCGGGUGGCAUUGCUACCCCCCCAGGCCCCCCGUCCCGCCAAACCCUGUAGCGUUUGACCACGGGAUCUAGCCCUUUGACUUUGCACGGACGGGCUUUGAGCAGUGGACCUAUCCACCCGGUUGUGUUAGGUGAGCCCAUAGGAACACUUUGGAGCAACAUCCAGGCCAGACCCACAGCAAGAUCCCCUCCGUGUAGACCCGACGCUUCCGUUUCCCCCCUCCAGGUGCCGGCGGCAGCGCCGUCCGUGAGGGGGGGCACACCCCGGAGACGUGUGCUGGGCGUUUGCAACCGCCACAACACUUCCAGACUUGUGAGAGGCCGCCUACACAAGAUUUGGCGGCAUGCUAGCCCCCGGAGGCCGCCGGCCACAGUCGUAGACACGCGAAGAGCAAUCCGCAUAGAGGGAAUUGUUCAGAUACUACUCCAUCACGAACAAUUAUGAAAAAUUACCAUCAGUCCUACAGCACAUGUGCCCGCGUCGUGUAAAAAACUCAUGAUUUUAUCGCGCUCCGAGUAUUUAAUAAUAUUCACGCCGCAUCGUUACCGCAGAACAUCUACUACCGUGUCAUCGCCGUUUGUGAGGGGAGGCGCCCCCCGGAGACGCGUGCCGCCUCUUCGGACAUGCCACCACCACCCCGCAUGUAUGAGGGCCCGGUGCGACGCUCGGGUGGCAUUGCUACCCCCCAGGCCCCCCGUCCCGCCAAACCCUGUAGCGUUUGACCACGGGAUCUAGCCCUUUGACUUUGCACGGACGGGCUUUGAGCAGUGGACCUAUCUACCCGGUUGUGUUAGGUGAGCCCAUAGGAACACUUUGGAGCAACAUCCAGGCCAGACCCACAGCAAGAUCCCCUCCGUGUAGACCCGACGCGUCCGUUUCCCCCCUCCAGGUGCCGGCGGCAGCGCCGUCCGUGAGGGGGGGCACACCCCGGAGACGUGUGCUGGGCGUUUGCACCCGCCACAACACUUCCAGACUUGUGAGAGGCCGCCUACACAAGAUUUGGCGGCAUGCUAGCCCCCGGAGGCCGCCGGCCACAGUCGAAGACACGCGAAGAGCAAUCCGCAUAUAGGGAAUUGUUCAGAUACUACUCCAUCACGAACAAUUAUGAAAAAUUACCAUCAGUCCUACAGCACAUGUGCCCGCGUCGUGUAAAAAACUCAUGAUUUUAUCGCGCUCUGAGUAUUUAAUAAUAUUCACGCCGCAUCGUUACCGCAGAACGUCUACUACCGUGUCAUCGCCGUUCGUGAGGGGGGGGGGCACACCCCAGAGACGCGUGCCGCCUCUUCGGACAUGCCACCACACCACCCCGCAUGUAUGGGGGCCCGGUGCGACGCUCGGGUGGCAUUGCUACCCCCCAGGGCCCUCGUCCCGCCUAACCCUGUAGCGUUUGACCACGGGAUCUAGCCCUUUGACUUUGCACGGACGGGCUUUGAGCAGUGGACCUAUCCACCCGGUUGUGGUAGGUCAGCCCAUAGGAACACUUUGGAGCAACAUUCGGGCCAGACCCACAGCAAGAUCCCCUCCGUGUAGACCCGACGCGUCCGUUUCCCCCCUCCAGGUGCCGGGUACCGGGUCCCAUACAGACGGUAAACUAAGAAUAUAAAAAUGUAAUAAUUGAAUUGAUUAAAAACUUCGGUAUUCAUCAUUGAAAAUGUACAAUUGCUGUGAACCUUUUAGUGCUCGGGCACCGGGCCGGCUGCCCGGGCACGCCCGGUGCCCGAGCACUGAAAAGUUCACAGCAAUUGUCCAUUUUCUUCAUAUAAGUCUAAUGAAUACCGGAGCUUAUGACGUAUGGAUUAGUGAACUAUUUAAACAGGUCAAAUUGCUUUUCCCUCGGCGAGGUGGGACUAUUUUUUCAAAAAAAAGUAGUUGCCAUCUAUGCCGACGGCAUAGCCGUUGACAUAGGCCUCCUCUCUAUGCCGACGGCCAGGCCCUCGGCAUAGAGCCACCCUUAUCCACUCGAUGGCCCUCUCGCUGUCAGGUGGGACCACUCCUAUGCCGACGGCCUGGCCAUCGGCAUAGGGCCACCUUAUCCUCGACACCCCGGCCCUCCUCCUCCACUCGUUUCUCUCCUCGCACCCCGAUCCAACUCCCUCUCCUCGACACCCAACCGCCGCCGCCACCCUCUCCGCGCCGUCGACGCCCCCCUAGCCGCUCGCCCCGCCACCGGCCGCCGCCAUCUCCACCCACCCGCGCCGCGCCGCCGUCAUCUCCGCCCUACCCGCCCCGCCGCCAUCUCCACCCACCCGCGCCGCCGCCCCCCCCCGGCCGGAGUCCCCGGCCUGAUCUCNNNNNNNNNNNNNNNNNNNNNNNNNNNNNNNNNNNNNNNNNNNNNNNNNNNNNNNNNNNNNNNNNNNNNNNNNNNNNNNNNNNNNNNNNNNNNNNNNNNNNNNNNNNNNNNNNNNNNNNNNNNNNNNNNNNNNNNNNNNNNNNNNNNNNNNNNNNNNNNNNNNNNNNNNNNNNNNNNNNNNNNNNNNNNNNNNNNNNNCGGCCCCCUCCGACGUCGCCACCUCCCCCGCCCCUGCUGUCCUCCAGCCGCUCCGGUGCUGCUUCCCCUCGGUGAGCUCCCCCGCCCCCCGGUCACUCGCCGGAGUUGUAGCUGAUGCCGCUGUUGUGUUAGCUAGAUAGACAAAAUUAGUGUAGUGCAAUUAUUUUGUAUGUUUAGUGCAAUUUUAGUAGAUAGAUAGAGAAAUGUUAAAAUUUGGAUAGUUGAAUGAAAUGGAUAGAUAAGUAGAUAAAUUUCUAGGUACAUCAAUGUAUGGAUAGGUAGGUACAUUUUAGUUUUGACCAAAAAAAUUAAUCAAUGCGGUAAAAAUUUAAUUUGAAGUAUCAUGAUCAUCUAAGUUUUUUACUUUAUGUUUUGAAUAAUGUAGAAUAUAUGCAUUCUGUCCUACAAUUUGAGAUGUUGUUGAAAUGCUACAUGAGAUGCGAAGUUCCAAAUAUUUUACUCGGUGGAAUUUAAAGGGUUUGUGGCGUCGCAUCUCUCGAUAUGAUAUGUAGAUAGAUGUUUUGUGAAGUAGAUAGAUAGACCGAUGUUAAAAUUCGGAUCAUGGUUAGUGGUUAGUUCAUCAUGAUGAUAUUGCAAAAAAAAAAUUGAAGACAAAAUUUUGAUUGACUCAGAUGUGAUGAUCUAAGUUGUUCUUUCGGUGGAUUUUGCAGGCUUUGUGGUGUCGCAUUUCAGCGGAGUGACCGUUGUCCGACGCGUUGGUCCCCCUGAGCAUCCCUCUGCUGUUCGACUACUUCCUCUACAGCCGAGGGUGAGCUACAAGUCCAUCUCCUCCCUUUUUUCAUAUCACUAGAUUUCAUUCUCAAGUCACCUGGCGUAACCUAGGUCUCCCGUCCGAAAGGGUUGCAUCGAUAAAUAUGCAUUCAAUUGCAUAUUUAUCACCGCAGCUCUUUUAGAUUGUCCAGCGUUUUCCAUGGACAGCCCGAGGAUGUGUAGAUUGAUUAUGUUCUCCAUGUUCUACCCUGUUCCGAGACAGGAUUUCGGCGCCCAUUGUUCUCCGGAGCACAUUCUCUCGGCUAUUUGCCGAGACGUGUAUCUGGAGAACAGCAGGGAGGUGCUGCCGAAAUUUUGUCUAGUAACAGGGUAGAAUGGAGAACGUACUCAAUCUACACAUCCUCGGGUGGGAUUAGGACCCAUCUUUACCUAUUAGAGAUGUAGGUGGAUUCAACGCGGUAGAAACUGAAAAUUUGAUGUGAUUAAUUUAAGUGAAUCCUUAAUUAUGUUGUGUGGCUUGCAAAAAAGCAGAGGAUGGCAGAUAAUCAGUGGAUGUACAGUGGUUUUAUCCGUCGGAAUCGAGUAACAUCAGAGUGGAUCGCGAAAACCGAUGUGUAUUUGAAGGAGAUAUUCCGUCGUCCAAGGAGAAUUAUCCCACCAUGCCCUUGUGCGAGAUGUGCGAGAUGUGCCAGACGUCACCGUAGAAAUCAGAUGGACAUGAGUGAGCACCUUCGCACGCACGGAUAUAUGCCAAACUUUGACAUGCCGCCGAUAAACAUAGCCGAGCAGAACCGUGGUAGAGAGGAGGUGAUGCGACAACGCAUCGAUGGAUAUGAGGACGACGGGGUCAGGGACAUGCUAGAUGAUGUCAUUGUUGCAGAAACGGGAAAUGCGACACCUUCAGAGAAUGAACCGGAGGAGCCGGAGGCAACCGCAAAGGCCUUCUUGGAGGUCUUGGCCUCGUCGAAGAAACCUCUUUAUGCGGGUGCGAAAAUAUCUCAGCUGGAUGCCAUCUCGCAACUGAUUGCAGUCAAGGCUGAGUACGUCUGUAGCCAGAAAUGCUUCGAAGCAUUAUUGGGAGUAUGGGCUAACAGCCUCCCUGAGGGUCAUGAACUGCCGAAAAGCAUGUACGAUACAAAGAAAAUCAUGAAGGCACUCUCUAUGGAUUAUGAGAAAAUAGAUGUUUGCCCGAAGAAUUGCCUUUUGUUUAGGCACGAGUAUGCGGAUGACAAGUACUGUAGGCAGUGCGGUUCGUCUCGGUACAUUGAGGUGGUCGGUGAGGAUGGUGAGAAAAAGCAGCUAACCAUCCCCAUUAAGGUUCUUCGGUAUCUUGAUUUUAUAAAAAGACUGCAGCGCCUUUUCAUCAUGAAGGAGUCUGCCAAAAUGAUGAAGUGGCACAAGGAAGGUAUAAGGUACAAUCCAAAAAAAAUCGUACAUCCAUCGGAAGGGGAAGCAUGGAAGUCGUUCGAUGAAGAAUACCCCGAGGAAGCAGCCGAGGCUGGGAAUGUCAGAAUAGCCAUAUCAGGUGAUGGGUUGAAUUCAUAUGGUAUGUCGUCCAAUCCAUACAGCUGCUGGCCCGUGUUUGUAAUUCCGCUCAAUCUUCCUCCCGGUGCCCUAAUGCAACGCAAGACCAUGUUCUUGUUGCUCAUCAUUCCGGGGCCUGAUUAUCCGGGGAAGCAAUUGGGUGUGUUUAUGCAGCCGCUGGAGGAUGCUUUGCACCAUUCUUGGUACUUUCCGACGUUGACAUACGACCGGGAUCUGCAGAGAAAUUUCUUGAUGAAAGUUUGGUUGCACUAUUGCAUGCAUGACUUUCCCGGCUAUGCUCUAUUCUGCGGAUGGUGUACAAGUGGGAAGAUGCCAUGCCCAGUGUGCAUGCAGGCUCUGCGAAUGAUUUGGCUGAGUAAGGGUGGCAAGUAUGUAGCCUUUGACCUGCAUCGACAGUUCCUCCCUCCAGACCAUCCAGACAGGGAAGACAAGAAGAACUUCACGAAAGGCCGGGUUGUUCAUGAAGUAACCGAGAUUCCAACAUUUUUGGGGGCAGAUGUUCUUGCUCAGCUAAAAGCUCUCCAACCUAAAGUCAAAGGCAAAGCCAAAGCCAAAGCCAAAGGCUUCGAGGGAUAUGGUGAGACGCACAACUGGACUCACAUUACCCCCUUCUCACAGCUUCCCUAUUUCAAGGACCUCAAACUUCCUUACAAUAUCGAUGUGAUGCACACCGAAAAGAAUGUGGCAGAGUCCCUUUUCCACACGAUCCUCAAUAUUCCUGAUAAGACGAAGGAUAACAUUAAAGCUAGAGCCGAUCAACAGAGAAUUUGUGAUAGACCACGUCUGAACAUGAAGCCUCCCACAGGCGGUCGAAAAAACUGGUUCAAGCCAGAUGCUGACUUUGUCCUUAAACCGCCAGAAAAAAAAGGAAGUACUUAUCUGGCUGAAACACAUUUUGAAGUUCACCGAUGGUUAUGCAUCGAAUAUAAGUAAGCGAGUCAAUCUUUCAACGGGCAAAGUGACCGGCCUGAAGAGUCAUGACUACCAUGUAUGGAUUGAGUGGAUAAUGCCGGUGAUGGUUCGAGGCUAUGUCCCCGAGCAUGUCUGGCGAGUGCUUGCCGAGCUAAGCCAUUUCUUCCGCACGCUCUGUGCUAAAGAAGUAAGUAAAGACGUGAUUGAAAAAUUGCAUAAGAAGGCACCGGAGUUGAUAGUCAAGCUAGAGAAGAUCUUUCCGCCAGGCUUCUUUACACCGAUGACACAUCUCAUUCUGCACCUCGCGAACGAGGUAUUGUUGGGGGGGCCUGUGCAGAAUCGCUGCCAGUACGGCCCUGAGAGACAGAACAAGCAUCUCCGACAGAAAUGUGGAAACAAAGCUAAGAUUGAAGCUUCCAUAGCUGAGGCAGUUAUCCUAGAGGAGGUGUCAGACCUCAGCACAUCAUACUAUCCAGACCACGUUCCCCAUCUGCAUAACAAGGUGCCUCGAUACAAUAUAGAAGAGCCGAAGUAUCAACCCAAGCUCCAUCUAUUCAACGCGCAAGGUGGGAGGGCUGGGGCCUCGAAACCUUAUAACAUGCCACGACAAGAGUGGGAGGACCUCAUGUUCUAUAUCUUGCACAACAUCAGGGAAGUUGAGGAAGUGUGGAUGAGGUAAUGCCACUACACCAUUCCUUUAUGUCUUCCACAUCAUCAUGUUUUAUGUUCACUUAGUCCCGGUCUAACACCGAUUUUCUUUUUUUUAGUGAUUUCGUUCAAGAGGAAUGGACGGGAAUGAAUCCUCCUACUGAGGCGGAGGCACUUACUCUUCUCCGUCAUGGAAACCCUGGACGUAAAAUUUUUGUUGCUUGGUUCAUGGAGAAAGUAAUUUUCCACACUCCCCUAUUAAAUACCUAGUUCAACAUUUAUUAGUUAACUAAUGCACGCAACAAUUUCAAUUAUACUUGUAGGGAAAAGAUCCGAACAUAUCUAUGGAUGAUGAAUUGAGAUGGGUUUCCAUGGGUUUUGACCCUGCCGUCAUGACAUGUAAAAAGUAUGAUGUGAAUGGGUAUCGCUUACAUACAGAGGAGCACCAGAACAGCCGCCCUGAUCCCAAAACUAUAAAUACCGGAGUGUACACCCCCGGUCAAAAUUCAGUAGACUACUACGGAAGGGUACAAAAUAUAUACGAGAUUAAAUUCCACCAGGGGCGCGAGACCCUAAGUCUGCCUGUGUUCAAAUGUCGAUGGUUCGAUCCGCGGGAGGGGGUAAAACAUACGCCUUCCAUUGGUUUGGUCGAAGUUAAACCAUCAACCGUCUAUGCCGGAGCCGAUCUCUUCAUUGCGGCUACCCAAGCUACACAAGUAUAUUAUCUGCCUUACCCCUGCCAGAAAGAGUACCUAAAGGGUUGGGAAGUUGUGUUCAAGGUGUCGCCACAUGGUAAGCUACCGAACCUGAAUGAAGACGAUUACUACAACAUUAACCCCAUGACAUACGAGGGAGUGUUCUAUCAAGAGCAACCUGAUGAUGAUGAUGUGGUUAGAAACGAUGACGCUAGACCAUUGGGUGAUGAUGAUGUGGAUCCAAACGACGACGAAGCACGGAAUGAUGGUGAGACCAUUGUCAAUGAAAAUGACAUACUUAUGCUAGAAAAGUUAAACGAAGACGCUGACGACGAGGAAGAGCCUCCACCUCCGUCAGACAACAAAGAUGAUAUGAUUGAUAGUGAUGAUGAGACGGACCGAGAAAGAGGUUACAACAGUGAUGAUUCAUAUGGUUUCUAGCAGAUGUACGUGUCAAGUCUUUUUUUCUAUAGUUUAGGAAUAUGCCUUUUAUGCAUUUUUAUUAAUGUGUUUAUUAUCAUGCCUUUUCCUUCAUUUCAUUAAUUUACUAAUUGCUUAUUCUCUUUUCAAUGCAGGUUCGUGGAACAUGGGCAAGGGGAAGGCCGACGGCGUGGGUUUCCUACGCAAGGUCGUUGGCCUGCCUAGUCGGAGUGGUCGAGCACGUAAUCCUCCCCCCGGCUACUUGACGAUGACUCCUCACAGGGAGGUCGAGGGAGAGGUGCCCCUAGAGGAGGAGUGGGCGGGGGGAGAGCCCCUAGAGGGCGAGGUGGUGGGGGGAGAGCCACUACAGGGGUUCGCGGCCAGAAAGAGCGCACCCUCACCGACUUAGGGGUGUUGUCUUCGAGGCCAUCCUCUAGUGAGGUACCCUCCUCUAGUGAGGUACCCUCCUCUGGUGAGGAGGAGGAGGACGACGAGGCAGGCGAGGAGGAGGAGGUUCGGGAUGGGGCCGAGGAGGAGGUGGAGGAGGAGGACGAGGAGGAGGAGGAUGAGGAGGAGGUUGGGGAGGGGGAGGCAGGCGAGGAGGAGGGUGGUGGCGGGGAUGAUGGUGCUGGCGGGGAGGGGGUUGACAACAAGGGGUGGCUGCAUGGUAACGCAAAGCUACCAAAGCAGGUUCCUGCUACUGAGGAGCAGAAGUGGCUCAUUGAGCCCACGGAGAAAGAGUAAAUGCCACUUUAUAAUAAUUUCAUUAUUUUGCUUGUCACAUGCUCAUUCCGGUUGUUAUUUAUUUUGCUUGUCACAUGCUAAUAGUUCAUUCUUUUGCAGCAACUGGAUAUAUUCUAAAGGGGUUCGUAUUCCCAACGGCCUCAUCACCGUCUUGCUGAAGUUACACUGGCCGGGGUUGUACUGUCCGGAUCCAGUCAGGCACCCGAACCAUCGGGUCUUGGCCACGAGCUGGGAGCACUGGGAAGCGGCCCUCCACGCGGACCAUGCGACCCAUGCCAAGGCCGUGAUCACCACUUUCUGGGUGAGUUCUCUUCAGAAGCACAAGUCCAUUCUAGUUUCAUGAAUGAUUUAACUCAUGGCUUCUUCCAUUCUUGUUUCGUGCAUGAUUGUAGAAAUUCUAUCGAGUUCUCCCGGAGAACAGGGCCAGAGCGGACCAGAUCGUGCUGCGCCAAUGCAAGAAGAAGGCCCGCCAGAUGCAGUACGAGGUGCGAUAUGUGGCCAUCUCGACAUACCAUCACGACUAUCUUGGUGUGAAGAUGACCAAGGAAGACGCGCGGAGGAUGGGCAUUACCUUGGAGAGGGACGAGUUCUUGAAGGUAAGUAUAAAAGAUUUUUCAUUAUGCUUUCAUUACCUUGUGGUACAUUUCACCGUUUCGUGUUGACAUGCCAUUAUGCUUUCAUUAUGUAGGUGUUACCAAAUUGGUGUUAUGGAAAAGACGAGUCCUGGGCGGCAUUGGUGGAUCUUUGGUGUGAUGAGGCUGGAGCCUGGGCGGCUAUGAGAGUCAAAAACAAGGCUAACCGAGGGAAGGAGGGAGUACAUGCUCAGGGAAACCGAAACCACUAUCUCCACAAGGCAGUUAAUGUAUGACUAACCCCAUUAAACAUUCUUCUUCUUCUGUUUACCAUUACUUUCUUAUGUAUGACUAACCUCUGUUUGGUGGUGCAGGAGGAGAAACUGAAGUGGCCGCUCUCACACAUGCAGGCGUGGGAGAUCGCCCAUACGCGGAAGGACCCCAAGCCUGGCGAGCCCAAGUACUACGGCAAGAAGACCGCGCAUAGGAAGAAGGCCUACUCCGAUGGGUAUCUGGCGUUACAUCCUGACACACCUGACCCCAUUGCGGCGGAUCUGGACGAAAGGGUGGUGGUGGGCAUGGGGCCGAAGGAGCACGGUCGGGAGGCGGUUCUCGAUGCUGUGAUCACUCCUACUAUCUCCUACACACAGCUCCGUCGGAUCGACCCGACCCUGAGCCAGCGCACGAGCACGCCCAUGAGCAGUGCACCAUCGCUGUCCCUCUUUCAGGAGCAGCAAACUGUAAGUAUUUUCCCUUUUAUCUUCAUUGCUCCCUUUAUUUUCCGCAUUUAGUAGUUUUAUGAGUUUCAUCAUGUCAUACUGUAGGCCUACAUGGAGUACACACGCCAGGAGACCAUGGCGUGGCACGACCGCCUUCAUGCAUACCAUCAGCAGAGGGAUCGCUAGAUGCAGCACGCUUUUCAGGAAAUGGCGGCCGGCAGGUGUCCUCAAUGGCCAUCAGCAGAGGGUCCUCCAGCACAACCAACGUUGCUGACCUUUGAGGAGUUUGUGGCACAGAACGCUUGCCCCUCACCGGUUAGUUCAUCCCCAAUCUAUUCACUCAAAGCAUUGUUGGGGGUCGUUGCAGAAUUUUAAAAUUUUCUACGCAUCACCAAGAUCCAUCUAUGGAGUAUACUAGCAACGAGGGGAAAGGAGUGCAUCUACAUACCCUUGUAGAUCGCGAGCGGAAGCGUUCAAGUGAACGGGGUUGAUGGAGCCGUACUUGCCGUGAUCCAAAUCACCGAUGACCGAGCGCCGAACGGACGGCACCUCCGCGUUCAACACACGUACGGAGCAGCGACGUCUCCUCCUUCUUGAUCCAGCAAGGGGGGAGGAGAGGUUGAUGGAGAUCCAGCAGCACGACGGCGUGGUGGUGGAAGUAGCGGGGAUCCCGGCAGGGCUUCGCCAAGCGCAAGCGGGAGAGAGGGGUGUCACGGGAGGGAGAGGGAGGCGCCAGGGGCUAGGGUACAGCAGCCCUCCCUCCCCCCUUUAUAUAGGCCCCCUGGGGGGCGCCGGCCCCUGGGAUCCCAUCUACAAGGGGGGCGGCGGCCAAGGGGGGGAAACUUCCCCCCCAAGCCAGGUGGGGCGCCCCCCACCCCCAGGGUUUCUAACCCUAGGCGCAGGGGGAGGCCCAUGGGGGGCGCACCAGCCCACUAGGGGCUGGUUCCCCUCCCACUUCAGCCCAUGGGGCCCUCCGGGAUAGGUGGCCCCACCCGGUGGACCCCCGGGACCCUUCCGGUGGUCCCGGUACAAUACCGAUAACCCCCGAAACUUUCCCGGUGGCCGAAACUGGACUUCCUAUAUAUAAUUCUUCACCUCCGGACCAUUCUGGAACUCCUCGUGACAUCCGGGAUCUCAUCCGGGACUCCGAACAACUUUCGUAUUUCCGCAUACUAAUAUCUCUACAACCCUAGCGUCACCGAACCUUAAGUGUGUAGACCCUACGGGUUCGGGAGACAUGCAGACAUGACCGAGAUGCCUCUCCGGUCAAUAACCAACAGCGGGAUCUGGAUACCCAUGUUGGCUCCCACAUGUUCCAUGAUGAUCUCAUCGGAUGAACCAUGAUGUCGAGGAUUCAAUCAAUCCCGUAUACAAUUCCCUUUGUCAAUCGGUACGUUACUUGCCCGAGAUUCGAUCGUCGGUAUCCCAAUACCUUGUUCAAUCUCAUUACCGGCAAGUCACUUUACUCGUACCGUAAUGCAUGAUCCCGUGGCUAACUCCUUAGUCACAUUGAGCUCAUUAUGAUGAUGCAUUACCGAGUGGGCCCAGAGAUACCUCUCCGUCAUACGGAGUGACAAAUCCCAGUCUCGAUCCGUGCCAACUCAACAGACACUUUCGGAGAUACCCGUAGUGUACCUUUAUAGUCACCCAGUUACGUUGUGACGUUUGGCACACCCAAAGCACUCCUAUGGCAUCCGGGAGUUGCACGAUCUCAUGGUCUAAGGAAAUGAUACUUGACAUUGGAAAAGCUCUAGCAAACGAACUACACGAUCUUUUGUGCUAUGCUUAGGAUUGGGUCUUGUCCAUCACAUCAUUCUCCUAAUGAUGUGAUCCCAUUAUCAAUGACAUCCAAUGUCCAUAGUCAGGAAACCAUGACUAUCUGUUGAUCAACGAGCUAGUCAACUAGAGGCUCACUAGGGACAUGUUGUGGUCUAUGUAUUCACACAUGUAUUACGAUUUCCGGAUAACACAAUUAUAGCAUGAACAAUAGACAAUUAUCAUGAACAAGGAAAUAUAAUAAUAACCAUUUAUUAUUGCCUCUAGGGCAUAUUUCCAACAGUCUCCCACUUGUACUAGAGUCAAUAAUCUCGUUAUAUUGUGAUGAAUCGAACACCCAUAGAGUUCUGGUGCUGAUCAUGUUUUGCUCUAGGGAGAGGUUUAGUCAACGGAUCUGCUACAUUCAGGUCCGUAUGUACUUUACAAAUAUCUAUGUCUCCAUUUUGAACACUUUCAUGAAUGGAGUUGAAGCGACGCUUGAUAUGCCUGGUCUUCCUGUGAAACCUAGGCUCCUUGGCAAGGGCAAUAGCUCCAGUGUUGUCACAGAAGAGAGUCAUCGGGCCCGAUGCAUUGGGAAUCACCCCUAGGUCGGUAAUGAUCUCCAUCCAGAUUGCUUCUUGUGCUGCCUCUGAGGCUGCCAUGUACUCCGCUUCACAUGUAGAUCCCGCCACGACGCUUUGCUUGCAACUGCACCAGCUUACUGCCCCUCCAUUCAAAAUAUACACGUAUCCGGUUUGUGACUUCGAGUCAUCCAGAUCUGUGUCGAAGCUAGCGUCGACGUAACCCUUUACGACGAGCUCUUCGUCACCUCCAUAAACGAGAAACAUAUCCUUAGUCCUCUUCAGGUACUUCAGGAUAUUCUUGACCGCUGUCCAGUGUUCCAUGCCGGGAUUACUUUGGUACCUUCCUACCAAACUUACGGCAAGGUUUACAUCAGGUCUGGUACACAGCAUGGCAUACAUAAUAGACCCUAUGGCCGAGGCAUAGGGGAUGACACUCAGUUUUUCUCUAUCUUCUGCCAUGGUCGGGCAUUGAGCCGUGCUCAAUUGCACACCUUGCAAUACAGGCAAGAACCCCUUCUUGGACUGAUCCAUAUUGAACUUCUUCAAUAUCUUGUCAAGGUACGUACUCUGUGAAAGACCAAUGAGGCGUCUUGAUCUAUCUCUAUAGAUCUUGAUGCCUAAUAUAUAAGCAGCUUCUCCAAGGUCCUUCAUUGAAAAACACUUAUUCAAAUAGGCCUUUAUACUUUCCAAGAAUUCUAUAUCAUUUCCCAUCAAUAGUAUGUCAUCCACAUAUAAUAAGAGAAAUGCUACAGAGCUCCCACUCACUUUCUUGUAAACACAGGCUUCUCCAUAAGUCUGUGUAAACCCAAACGCUUUGAUCAUCUCAUCAAAACGAAUGUUCCAACUCCGAGAUGCUUGCACCAGCCCAUAGAUGGAGCGCUGGAGCUUGCAUACCUUGUUAGCAUUCUUAGGAUCGACAAAACCUUCCGGCUGCAUCAUAUACAAUUCUUCCUUAAGAAAGCCGUUAAGGAAUGCCGUUUUGACGUCCAUUUGCCAUAUCUCAUAAUCAUAGAAUGCGUCAAUUGCUAACAUGAUUCGGGCGGACUUCAGCUUCGCUACGGGUGAGAAAGUCUCAUCGUACUCAACCCCUUGAACUUGUCGAUAACCCUUAGCGACAAGUCAAGCCUUAUAGAUGGUCACAUUACCAUCCGCGUCUGUCUUCUUCUUAAAGAUCCAUUUAUUUUCUAUGGCUCGCCGAUCAACGGGCAAGUCAGUCAAAGUCCAUACUUUGUUUUCAUACAUGGAUCCUAUCUCGGAUUUCAUGGCUUCUAGCCAUUUGUCGGAAUCUGGGCCCGCCAUCGCUUCUUCAUAGUUCGAAGGUUCACCGUUGUCUAACAACAUGAUUUCCAGGACAGGGUUGCCAUACCACUCUGGUGCGGAACGUGUCCUUGUGGACCUACGAAGUUCAGCAGUAACUUGAUCCGAUGCUUCAUGAUCAUCAUCAUUAACUUCCUCCCCAGUCGGUGUAGGCACCACAGGAACAUCUUCCCGCGCUGCGCUACUUUCCGGUUCGGAAGGGGUGACUAUCACCUCAUCAAGUUCCACUUUCCUCCCACUUAAUUCUUUCGAGAGAAACUCUUUCUCCAGAAAGGACCCGUUCUUGGCAACAAAGAUCUUGCCUUCGGAUCUGAGGUAGAAGGUAUACCCAAUGGUUUCCUUAGGGUAUGCUAUGAAGACGCAUUUUUUCGACUUGGGUUCGAGCUUUUCAGGAUGAAGUUUCUUGACAUAAGCAUCGCAUCCCCAAACUUUUAGAAACGACAGCUUAGGUUUCUUCCCAAACCAUAAUUCAUAUGGUGUCGUCUCAACGGAUUUCGACGAAGCCCUAUUUAAAGUGAAUGCGGCAGUCUCUAAAGCAUAGCCCCAAAAUGAGAGCGGUAGAUCGGUAAGAGACAUCAUAGAUCGCACCAUAUCCAAUAGAGUGCGAUUACGACAUUCGGACACACCGUUUCGCUGAGGUGUUUCAGGCGGCGUGAGUUGUGAAACGAUUCCACAUUUCCUUAAGUGCGUACCAAAUUCGUGACUUAAAUAUUCUCCACCACGAUCUGAUCGUAAGAACUUUAUUUUCCCGUCACGUUGAUUCUCAACCUCACUCUGAAAUUCCUUGAACUUUUCAAAGGUUUCAGACUUGUGUUUCAUUAGGUAGACAUACCCAUAUCUACUUAAGUCAUCAGUGAGAGUGAGAACAUAACGAUAUCCUCCGCGAGCCUCAACACUCAUUGGACCGCACACAUCGGUAUGUAUGAUUUCCAAUAAGUUGGUUGCUCGCUCCAUUGUUCCGGAGAACGGAGUCUUGGUCAUCUUACCCAUGAGGCAUGGUUCGCACGUGUCAAAUGAUUCGUAAUCAAGAGACUCCAAAAGUCCAUCUGCAUGGAGCUUCUUCAUGCGUUUGACACCAAUGUGACCAAGGCGGCAGUGCCACAAGUAUGUGGGACUAUCGUUAUCAACUUUACAUCUUUUGGUAUUCACACUAUGAAUAUGUGUAACAUCACGUUCGAGAUUCAUCAAGAAUAAACCAUUGACCAACGGGGCAUGACCAUAAAACAUAUCUCUCAUAUAAAUAGAACAACCAUUAUUCUCAGAUUUAAAUGAGUAGCCAUCUCGAAUUAAACGAGAUCCAGAUACAAUGUUCAUGCUCAAAGCUGGCACUAAAUAACAAUUAUUGAGAUUUAAAACUAAUCCCGUAGGUCAAUGCAGAGGUAGCGUGCCGACGGCGAUCACAUCGACCUUGGAACCAUUCCCGACGCGCAUCGUCACCUCGUCCUUCGCCAGUCUUCGCUUAUUCCGCAGCUCCUGUUUUGAGUUACAAAUAUGAGCAACCGCACCGGUAUCAAAUACCCAGGAGCUACUACGAGUACUGGUAAGGUACACAUGUAUAUCACAUAUACCUUUGGUGUUGCCGGCCUUCUUGUCCGCUAAGUAUUUGGGGCAGUUCCGCUUCCAGUGACCACUUCCCUUGCAAUAAAAGCACUCAGUCUUAGGCUUGGGUCCAUUCUUUGACUUCUUCCCAGCAACUGGCUUACCGGCGCAGCAACUCCCUUGCCGUCCUUCUUGAAGUUCUUCUUACCCUUGCCUUUCUUGAACUUAGUGGUUUUAUUCACCAUCAACACUUGAUGUUCCUUUUUGAUCUCCACCUUCGCUGAUUUCAGCAUUGAUUACACCUCAGGAAUGGUCUUUUCCAUCCCCUGCAUAUUGAAGUUCAUCACAAAGCUCUUGUAGCUUGGUGGAAGCGACUGAAGGAUUCUGUCAAUGACCGCGUCAUCCGGGAGAUUAACUCCCAGCUGAGACAAGCGGUUGUGUAACCCAGACAUUCUGAGUAUGUGCUCACUGACAGAACUAUUUUCCUCCAUUUUACAGCUGAAGAACUUGUCGGAGACUUCAUAUCUCUCGACCCGGGCAUGAGCUUGGAAAACCAUUUUCAGCUCUUCCAACAUCUCGUAUGCUCCAUGUUUCUCAAAACGCUUUUGGAGCCCCGGUUCUAAGCUGUAAAGCACGCCGCACUGAACGAGGGAGUAAUCAUCAGCACGUGAUUGCCAAGCGUUCAUAACGUCUUGGUUCUCUGGGAUGGGUGCUUCACCUAGCGGUGCUUCUAGGACGUAAUCUUUCUUGGCAGCUAUGAGGAUGAUCCUCAGGUUCCGGACCCAGUCCAUAUAGUUGCUGCCAUCAUCUUUCAGCUUGGUUUUCUCUAGGAACGCGUUGAAGUUGAGGACAACGUGGGCCAUUUGAUCUACAAGACAUAUUGUAAAGAUUUUAGACUAAGUUCAUGAUAAUUAAGUUCAUCUAAUCAAAUUAUUCAAUGAACUCCCACUCAGAUAGACAUCCCUCUAGUCAUCUAAGUGAAACAUGAUCCGAGUUAACUAGGCCGUGUCCGAUCAUCACGUGAGACGGACUAGUCAAGAUCGGUGAACAUCUCCAUGUUGAUCGUAUCUUCUAUACGACUCAUGCUCGACCUUUCGGUCUUUCGUGUUCCGAGGCCAUGUCUGUACAUGCUAGGCUCGUCAAGUCAACCUAAGUGUAUUGCGUGUGUUCCGAGGCCAUGUCUGUACAUGCUAGGCUCGUCAACACCCGUUGUAUGCGAACGUUAGAAUCUAUCACACCCGAUCAUCACGUGGUGCUUCGAAACAACGACCUUCGCAACGGUGCACAGUUAGGGGGAACACUUUCUUGAAAUUAUUAUAAGGGAUCAUCUUACUUACUACCGUCGUUCUAAGCAAAUAAGAUGCAAAACAUGAUAAAUAUCACAUGCAAUCAAAUAGUGACAUGAUAUGGCCAUUAUCAUUUUGCUCCUUUGAUCUCCAUCUUCGGGGCGCCAUGAUCAUCUUCGUCACCGGCAUGACACCAUGAUCUCCAUCAUUGUGUCUUCAUGAAGUUGUCACGCCAACGAUUACUUCUACUUCUAUGGCUAACGCGUUUAGCAAUAAAGUAAAGUAAUUUACAUGGCGUUAUUCAAUGACACGCAGGUCAUACAAAAAAUAAAGACAACUCCUAUGGCUCCUGCCGGUUGUCAUACUCAUCGACAUGCAAGUCGUGAUUCCUAUUACAAGAAUAUGAUCAAUCUCAUACAUCACAUAUAUCAUUCAUCACAUCUUCUGGCCAUAUCACAUCACAAGGCACAUGCUGCAAAAACAAGUUAGACGUCCUCUAAUUGUUGUUGCAAGCUUUUACGUGGCUUGUAUAGGUUUCUAGCAAGAACGUUUCUUACCUACGUAAAACCACAACGUGAUAUGCCAAUUUCUAUUUACCCUUCAUAAGGACCGUUUUUAUCGAAUCCGUUCCGACUAAAGUGGGAGAGACAGACACCCGCUAGCCACCUUAUGCAACUAGUGCAUGUCAGUCGGUGGAACCUGUCUCACGUAAGCGUACGUGUAAGGUCGGUCCGGGCCGCUUCAUCCCACAAUACCGCCGAAACAAAAUAAGACUAGUAGUGGCAAGAAAAAUUGACAACAUCUACGCCCACAACUGCUUUGUGUUCUACUCGUGCAUAGUAACUACGCAUAGGCCUGGCUCAUGAUGCCACUGUUGGGGAUCGUUGCAGAAUUUUAAAAUUUUCUACGCAUCACCAAGAUCCAUCUAUGGAGUAUACUAGCAACGAGGGGAAAGGAGUGCAUCUACAUACCCUUGUAGAUCGCGAGCGGAAGCGUUCAAGUGAACGGGGUUGAUGGAGUCGUACUCGCCGUGAUCCAAAUCACCGAUGACCGAGCGCCGAACGGACGGCACCUCCGCGUUCAACACACGUACGGAGCAGCGACGUCUCCUCCUUCUUGAUCCAGCAAGGGGGAAGGAGAGGUUGAUGGAGAUCCAGCAGCACGACGGCGUGGUGGUGGAAGUAGCGGGGAUCCCGGCAGGGCUUCGCCAAGCGCAAGCGGGAGAGAGAGGUGUCACGGGAGGGAGAGGGAGGCGCCAGGGGCUAGGGUACAGCAGCCCUCCCCCCCCUUUAUAUAGGCCCCCUGGGGGGCGCCGGCCCCUGGGAUCCCAUCUACAAGGGGGGCGGCGGCCAGGGGGGGGGACUUCCCCCCCAAGCCAGGUGGGGCGCCCCCCACCCCCAGGGUUUCUAACCCUAGGCGCAGGGGGAGGCCCAUGGGGGGCGCACCAGCCCACUAGGGGCUGGUUCCCCUCCCACUUCAGCCCAUGGGGCCCUCCGGGAUAGGUGGCCCCACCCGGUGGACCCCCGGGACCCUUCCGGUGGUCCCGGUACAAUACCAAUAACCCCCAAAACUUUCCCGGUGGCCGAAACUGGACUUCCUAUAUAUAAUUCUUCACCUCCGGACCAUUCCGGAACUCCUCGUGACGUCCGGGAUCUCAUCCGGGACUCCGAACAACUUUCAGAUUUCUGCAUACUAAUAUCUCUACAACCCUAGCGUCACCGAACCUUAAGUGUGUAGACCCUACGGGUUCGGGAGACAUGCAGACAUGACCGAGACGCCUCUCCGGUCAAUAACCAACAGCGGGAUCUGGAUACCCAUGUUGGCUCCCACAUGUUCCACGAUGAUCUCAUCGGAUGAACCACGAUGUCGAGGAUUCAAUCAAUCCCGUAUACAAUUCCCUUUGUCAAUCGGUAUGUUACUUGCCCGAGAUUCGAUCGUCGGUAUCCCAAUACCUUGUUCAAUCUCGUUACCGGCAAGUCACUUUACUCGUACCGUAAUGCAUGAUCCCGUGGCUAACUCCUUAGUCACAUUGAGCUCAUUAUGAUGAUGCAUUACCGAGUGGGCCCAGAGAUACCUCUCCGUCAUACGGAGUGACAAAUCCCAGUCUCGAUCCGUGCCAAUUCAACAGACACUUUCGGAGAUACCCGUAGUGUACCUUUAUAGUCACCCAGUUACGUUGUGACGUUUGGCACACCCAAAGCACUCCUAUGGCAUCCGGGAGUUGCACGAUCUCAUGGUCUAAGGAAAUGAUACUUGACAUUGGAAAAGCUCUAGCAAACAAACUACACAAUCUUUUGUGCUAUGCUUAGGAUUGGGUCUUGUCCAUCACAUCAUUCUCCUAAUAAUGUGAUCCCGUUAUCAAUGACAUCCAAUGUCCAUAGUCAGGAAACCAUGACUAUCUGUUGAUCAACGAGCUAGUCAACUAGAGGCUCACUAGGGACAUGUUGUGGUCUAUGUAUUCACACAUGUAUUACGAUUUCCGGAUAACACAAUUAUAGCAUGAACAAUAGACAAUUAUCAUGAACAAGGAAAUAUAAUAAUAACCAUUUAUUAUUGCCUUUAGGGCAUAUUUCCAACAAGCAUAUCAUGCCUUUCAACACAGUCAUAUAUCCCGUUAAUAUGUCUUUUCAACAUCCAUGGAACCGGUGGAUCAACCGUUGGCGGUGGUCUUCGCAGCACUCCCGAGUCACGGAGCCCGACCACUCCGAUCCAUGGAGGCGGAGGCGGAGGUGGAGGCGGUCUUGGCGGUAGCGCUGCCGCUAGCACUGAUGACCUGGGCUUCAGCGGUCUUGGCGGUGACGACCUCCGCGGUGCUCGACGUCCUGGCGCUUAAGCCUUUUGGUUACUUGUGUGCUUAUGCUUAUGUAUCUUUAGAUGACUUAUGUGUGGUGAUGAUGAUAAACUUGUGGUCUUUGAUGGUCCUUUAGAUGACUUGCAUGCUUCUUUAUAUGCUUAUGCUUAUCUUUAUGUUGAUUAUGAUGAUGCUUAUGCAUAUAUUGUUGUGAUGGUGACGGAUGAUACUUAGAUGUGUUCUAUAUGUCUAUUUCCAUCAUAUAUAUCUGCUGAUAUGUGCUGUAUAUCUGAAUUGAAUUGAUUUGAAAACAAACAGAAAAAAGAAAAAAAAUCAAAUACAAACUAUGCCGACGGCUAGGCCGUCGGCAUAGGGCUGGCCUGAGCGCCCAGUUGCUGACGCGUGGCAUCUAUGCCGNNNNNNNNNNNNNNNNNNNNNNNNNNNNNNNNNNNNNNNNNNNNNNNNNNNNNNNNNNNNNNNNNNNNNNNNNNNNNNNNNNNNNNNNNNNNNNNNNNNNNNNNNNNNNNNNNNNNNNNNNNNNNNNNNNNNNNNNNNNNNNNNNNNNNNNNNNNNNNNNNNNNNNNNNNNNNNNNNNNNNNNNNNNNNNNNNNNNNNNNNNNNNNNNNNNNNNNNNNNNNNNNNNNNNNNNNNNNNNNNNNNNNNNNNNNNNNNNNNNNNNNNNNNNNNNNNNNNNNNNNNNNNNNNNNNNNNNNNNNNNNNNNNNNNNNNNNNNNNNNNNNNNNNNNNNNNNNNNNNNNNNNNNNNNNNNNNNNNNNNNNNNNNNNNNNNNNNNNNNNNNNNNNNNNNNNNNNNNNNNNNNNNNNNNNNNNNNNNNNNNNNNNNNNNNNNNNNNNNNNNNNNNNNNNNNNNNNNNNNNNNNNNNNNNNNNNNNNNNNNNNNNNNNNNNNNNNNNNNNNNNNNNNNNNNNNNNNNNNNNNNNNNNNNNNNNNNNNNNNNNNNNNNNNNNNNNNNNNNNNNNNNNNNNNNNNNNNNNNNNNNNNNNNNNNNNNNNNNNNNNNNNNNNNNNNNNNNNNNNNNNNNNNNNNNNNNNNNNNNNNNNNNNNNNNNNNNNNNNNNNNNNNNNNNNNNNNNNNNNNNNNNNNNNNNNNNNNNNNNNNNNNNGCCACGUGUCAGCAACUGGGAGCUCCUCGGGCAAGUCUAUGCCGACGGCCUGGCCGUCGGCAUACAUAUAAACUAAGCCGACAGCCAGGCCGUCGGCAUAGCCUUGCCCCAGGAGAACCCAGUUGCUGCCACGUGGCAGGCCUAUGCCGACGGCCUGUCCGUCGGCUUAGUUUAAAUCUAUGCCGACGGCUAGGCCGUCGGCAUAGGCUUGCCACAUGGCGAGCAGGCGUUGGUCAGCACUUGACGGCGGCCGCCGUUAGGAGGUAACGUUGCCGACGGCCAGGGUCGUCGGCAUAGAUGUACGGACACCGUCGGGAUAGGGCCUAUGCCGACGGCCUCCCGGGCUACGCCGACGGAUAUGUUGCCGACGGUCCUAUGCCGACGGGGGCCGUCGGCAUAGGCCUGUCCCGACGGCCAAUCAGGGCUAUGCCGACGGGUGCGAUUCCGGUAGUGGGUUUAGGGUUUAGGGUUUAGGGUAGCUGCUACUGGCCAUUGAGGAGGAGGAAGAAGAUGACGAUGACGACGACAAUGACGAUGAUGAAGAGGAGGUGUUCGUGCACGGAACCACUGCCUGCGUCCAUAUUUUCUCUAAGACGUCGGACACGAAGACGCCACACGUUUCCUUGAGCUCCUUGUACUCCUCCGUUGCCACCACGGCGGCGUAGACAUUGGGGUCGGACAUCAUGUACUCAACGCAGGCGGCCUCUAGCUGCCGGCAGCUAUCUCGGCCGUGCACCAGCAUCAGUGUCGUCAUCACAGAUCUGGCGUUCAUGUUGUCUGCAAGUAUCUUCUCGCGCAUGAGCCUCAGCCUCUCCAGGUCGUACCGAUCCGUGGCCACGAGUAAAUCACCUGCCAUGCCCAGGUGGUUGCCGUUUUUUUGCUUUGUGCUCGUCGGUGUAGAUGAAGUGCAGCAUGGCCCUGAAUGUGGAGGCGGUCAUGUCGUCGACAGUGACGCGGGAGCGCGCGGCGCCCUCCUUCAUCUCCCUGAGCAGCUCGGCGGCGAACACCGGCGACCGCAUGGCGAGCACGAGCCUGUGCGCCCGGAUCUCGGUCUGCUCCUCCACCACGAACGUCACGUCCGUCGCGAAGCGCGUGUCCGACUUGUCUGCCUUCGACGACUGCGACUCAUCCAGGAGCUUGCGGAGAUCACGGAGGAUGCUGGGCGGCGGCACGAUGGAGACGGAGCAGUCCUUGGUCGCGGCCUCGUCGGCCUCCUCUUGGAGGACGUCGACGGUGCAGUGGAUGGUGAGCCGGUCGUCCCUGACGUAGAGCGACUCCCGGAACGCGUCGGGGACGGGCAGCUCCCAGUAGCUUUUGCCGGUGCACUCAUCGGGGUCGUCGUCGUACCCACGACCGCGGGCGGCGGCGAGGAAGGUUUUGGCCUCGGCGCUCCGCCACACGGCAGGCGGCCACCGGCGAGGACCGCCCUUCUUCUCCGGCAGUGCCGGGUCGUCGAUCCGGAGGCUGGCCCUGGCGACCACGUCGUGGCCGUCGUUGGAGACGAGUGGAUCUGGUCCCCGGAACCGCGAUGUCGCGCGUAGGCAUAGGGGUCGUCGAAGCAGCAGAUGAGGGCCCAGGUGCAGCCGCCGGCCUGGAAGUCGGCCGACCUGACGGUGUUGCGGACGCCGAGGUCCUUGCGCGCGCGGUAGCCGACGAUGUCGAAGCUGUGCUCGCCCCGGAGGAACGCCGACCGGUGCGCCGACGAGGUCUUGUUCAGCGGCUGCGACGGCGCCAUGACGAUGUUGUUGAUUGACUGACUCGAUCCAGGACCGACCGAUGGAACGAGUAUAAUAUGGAUCUCUCAUCGCUAUCGACCGAUAUGUUGUUAGAGAUUGAGUCGGAGUCUGAUGCUAUAGCCGUAGCCCAAUGAGACACUUCUCUUAGGAAAAGUCAUAGCACAACUGCUCUCCGCCAAAUCCCUCUCUUUUUUUAAGUGAAUUUCGGUUUUUACCCCCUACUUUAACAUGUUUGAAGCAAGUUGCCUUGUUUAAAAGUUUUUCAUUUGGCUUGCCCCAUUUAUCCUAUUUACUGAUUUUUUUUGCCAAUUUUUAUCCCAUUUAGCGAUCUGUCGUGUGGUUCCUGACCGAUAGGUACAUGUGGCAUGACACGUCCCAGAAUUUCUUCUCACGCUUUUCUCCAUGUUCAAAUGAGAGAAGUCUAUAUUACAUCAGAUGUGAAAUAGCUAUCUCACAUCUAAAUCCAUAACCAUUGGAUGUUGUCCUGUCUUUAAGAUUCGCGCACACAUCUUUUUCCAUCUAUCCUGUCGCCUGUUUCUUCGUGCGAGCUUGAUUUCGCAUUGAUGCAUGUGUGCGCCUGGUUGUUUGUUUUUCCUCGGUCCAUUGUGUCCCACGGCCAGGCUUUUUUUGUUUUUGUUGGCCUGUUAUGCCCGCACAGGGCUUUGGGCUGUUAUACACAUGUCCUUUUACCGGGCAUUAAUAGGAAGGCACAGCGAUUUCGUUCUUUCGUGAUUAAAUGUGUUGUUUUUCUUGCCUAAACAAAUGUGUUGUUUUCCAUGCUGGGGUGCAUGGUGCAUGAGUCGGUUCUGCUGUUUUUCUUUUCACUUUUACUUUUACUUUUUUGUUUAUUUGUUUCAAGUUCAUGAACUUUUUUUCAACACAUUUAGCAACGUCUCAUCUAAGUUUCUGAUCGCUCGACCUGUUCGCUUUUAAAAUUGUUUGUGCAAAUCUUGAUCUUGGAUUAUUUUGUCACGCACAUCCUAUACUUCCAUGUCUUGCCGUACGUCUGGUGUCCACUUGUCAUCCCGUUCGCGUUUGCGUCUUUUGUUGGGCCGACUUCGUGACGUGAUCUCAAGACCCGUUUUUAUUUUUGGCGUGCGUUUUAUAAGUUGAAGACACGAAUUGGUCACCGCUUCCUCAGUUCCAUCGUCAUUGUCUCUCUCCCACCCCCAUUUGCCUAGGAGUAGAGCCGAUGCGGGUAGGAAGGAGGUUCGAUCUUUGUCCACACGUUGAAGACAUGCAUCUAUUUCGCCUUUUGUGUUUCAUUUGACAAACAACUAUCCUGCAAGUCUUCCCUUGACACACAAUCUUCAUUUGAGGGCGGCGGAGGGUAACCACUUUUGUCCCAGUUACAACUCCAUCCUCAACAUGCAACCGGGUCCGUGUUUUUCCUAGUUGCAACUAGGCAUGUGUUUUGUUUUCUAUCCCAGUUGUAAGUGCACGCUCGACUCACAACUAGACUUCUUAUUUGUCACUGUAACAAUUGCAAGUUCACUCCCGACUCGCAAAUGGUAUCAUAGUUUUGUGCAGUUGUCACGGUUGCAAGCCCGUUCAUUCGCAACUAGGCCCCUAGUUUGUUGCAUCCUAGUUGCAAGUCCAUCCUUGACUCGCAAUUGGGCUUGUAGUUCCAUAGUUGUCCCAGUUGCAAGUCCACCCUCGACUGGCAACUAGGCCCAUAGUUUUGUUGUCGUCUCAGUUGCAAGUCCACCUUCGACUUGUAACUCGUAUCGUAGUUUUGUGUAGUUGUCACAGUUGCAAAUCCACCGUUGACUCACAACUAGGUCGUAGUUUGUUUCUUCUGAGUUGCAAGUCCAACCUUCACUCGCAAAUCGACCCGUGUUUUGUUUUUCAUCCCAGUUGCAGGUCCACCCUUAACUCGCAAAUAGGCUUGUACUUUGUUUUAUCCCAGCUGCAAGUUGACUCUUGACUUGCAACUGGGCUCGUAGUUUUGUAUUUGUCCGAGUUGCAAGUCCGCCAUCGACUCGCAACUGGGCUCGUAGUUGUCCCAGUUGCAAGCCCACCUUCGACUCGUAACUGGGCACAUAAUUUGUUUCAUCCCUGUUUCAAGUCGGACCCUUGACUCGCAACUAGGCUUAUAGUUUCCUAGUUUUCAAAGUUUUCAGUCCAAUCUUUGUUUGUCUAAUUGGCUCGUAGUUGUCCUAGUUGCAACACCACACUCGACUAGCAACUGGGCAUGCGUUUUCUUUUUCUUACCAGUUGCAAGCCCACCCUCGACUCGCAACUGGGAUCGUAGUUUGUCAUUGUCGCAGUUGAAAAUUCACUCUCGACUCGCGAAUGAUAUCGUAGUUUUGUGUAGUUGUUAGGGUUACAAGUAUAUCCUUGAUUCGCAACUAGGCCAGUAGUUUGUUUCAUCCCAAUUGCAAGUCCACCCUUGACUCACAAUUGUGCUUGUAGGUUCAUAGUUGUCCCAAUUGCAAGUCCACCCUCGACUCGCAACUGGGCCCAUAGUUUUAUUGUUGUCUCGGUUGCCAGUCCACCUUUGAUUCGCAACUCGUAUCGUAGUUUUGUGCAGUUGCCCCAAUUGCAAGUCCAACCUUCACUCGCAACUCGGACCAUGUUUUUUUACAUCCCAGUUGCAGGUCCACCCUUAACUCGUAAUUGGGCUUUUAGUUUGUUUUAUCCCAGCUGCAAGUCGACCCUUGACUCGCAACUGAGCUCAUAGUUUUGUAUUUGUCCCAGUUGCAAGUCCGCCCUCGACUUGCAACUGGGCUCGUAGUUGUCCCAGUUGCAAGCCCACCUUCGACUCGCAACUAGAGUAUUUGUUUUUAUUUUCAUCACGGUUGCAAGCUCACCACUUGACUCGCAACUGGGCACAUAAUUUGUUUCAUCCCUGUUGCAAGUCGGACCCUUGACUCACAACUAGACUUAUAGUUUCAUAGUUUUCACAAUUGCAAGUCCACCCUCGACUAGAUAAUUGGCUUGUGGUUGUCCUAGUUGCAACACCACACUGGACUCGCAACUGGGCAUGUGUGUUGUUUUCCAUCCCAGUUGCAAGCCCACCCUCAACUCGCAACUGUGAUCGUAGUUUGUCAUUGUCCUAGUGGAAAAUUCACUCUCGACUCGCAAUGGUAUUAUAGUUUUGUGUAGUUGUCAGGGUUGCAAGUUCGUCCUUGAUUCGCAACUAGGCCCGUAGUUUGUUUCAUCCCAGUUGCAAGUCUAACUUGUACUCGCAAGUCAGCCUGUGUUUUAAUUUUCAUCCCAGUUGCAGUCAACCCUUAACUCGCAACUCGGUUUGUAGUUUUUUUUUACCCCACUUGUAGUAAAUGGGCAAGUUUUGUAUUUGUCCCAGUUGCAAGUUAACGCUCAACUGCCAACUGAGCAUGUGUUUUGUUUUCAUCCCAGUUGCAAGCUCACCCUCGACUCGCAACUGGAGCAUGCGUUUUUUGUUUUUCAUCACAGUUGCAAGCAUACACUUCACUUGCAACUCGGCGCAUGUGCAUUUUCACCUAUGAAACAAAACUCAACCGAGCCAGUUGCGUGUUCAUCCUAGAUAUGCAAAUUUGAUUAUUUUUUGUUUUUUGUUUUUUUCUCCACAUGCGUCUUUUAAAAUGUUCUCCAUAUUUAAAAUAUAAAUUCAUCACGUCAUGUGCUUGUAAAAUGUUGAACGUGUAUUUAAAAAAAUCAUCCCGUCCAUAAAAAAAUCGAGUGUGUCAUUUUUUCCAUUUUUUUCAAUUUUGCCAAACAAACACUUGAUUGAUGCAUCCAUGCUGCUUUUCACGUGCUAAAUAAAGGAAGAAAACAUAAAGGUGAAANNNNNNNNNNNNNNNNNNNNNNNNNNNNNNNNNNNNNNNNNNNNNNNNNNNNNNNNNNNNNNNNNNNNNNNNNNNNNNNNNNNNNNNNNNNNNNNNNNNNNNNNNNNNNNNNNNNNNNNNNNNNNNNNNNNNNNNNNNNNNNNNNNNNNNNNNNNNNNNNNNNNNNNNNNNNNNNNNNNNNNNNNNNNNNNNNNNNNNNNNNNNNNNNNNNNNNNNNNNNNNNNNNNNNNNNNNNNNNNNNNNNNNNNNNNNNNNNNNNNNNNNNNNNNNNNNNNNNNNNNNNNCAGGCUCAUCACAACACCGGUUACACGUUGGGUCUACAAGUGCUAACUUCUUUACGGACGUACACGUGCUAGAAGAAAAAAAGCCAACGAAGACGCACGACAGCCCACACUCGUGGCGCCAACUGGGCGUGGCGCUACCGCUGACGAGAAGCACAUGAAAUCGAUACAAACAAACAAUGGACAGGACGUGGGCUUGUCUACCUACUGAUUUGUGAUAAUGUCAUAGCUAGAUGUGAGAUAAUCAUAUCUAGAUGCAACAUAGACAGACCCAUAUUACAAACCUGAACUAGUAUCAAAGUCUAAUAUACAAAUGCAACCUCAAACUUUAAAACCGUCUGCUUUGCAACCUUGAACUUUCAAAAUCGGACAAGAACCAACCCUGCGACGGUUUUUGACAUAAUUUUGACCAGUUUUGACCAUUGACUAUCUAGUCAGCAGCCCAACCAGCCCGCCACGCGCGAGGAAAGCUCAUGCAACUUGCAACCAUGUCCCGGCUUUGUUGCGCCGCCGGCCAGCCCCCCGCCGCCCUUGACCUCUCCCCCCUGCUCCGGUCCUCCCCCUCCCGACUCGCCUUGACUAGGCCCUACAACCGCGCCCUGAUCCCCCAACACGCGGCACAGUGGCGGACUGGCAGUGUUCCCCAACCCGUCAUCCUCCCCCCAACCCAACAUUUGGCCCUCCAUGAUGCCCCGCCUUCUUGCUCCACAUCUGUAGUCCUGCCUUCGCUAUCCUGCCGCUGCGGCUCUUCCUCUGUCAGCAGUCGAGCUCUGACUUCAAGUGGUCGACGCCAAGAAUGUGUGUAGGACUAUGGUCUUGUGCAGCUGCUUGCCUACCCGAGAAGGAUCUGCUACUAGUUGCUCUGGACGGAACUGUGUACGUCUUAAUUGUUAUUGAACUCGAGUAGAUGCAUUUUGGCAUCCCCAUGUUUUUUGGUACUCUUUUUUGUAGUCUCAUAUUGUUAUUUGUAGUAUUUGUCAUGUUUUAUGUAUUUUAUUAAAUUGUGAAGUACUGAGUUUAGAUUAUUGAUUUAUUGCAAAUGUGCCAUAUUUUAUAGUACUACAUCCGUUCAACAAUGUAGCGCAUAUAUUUUUUUAAGUCAAGCUUUUCUAAAUUUUGAUUAAGUUUAGAGAGGAAAACAUAUACUUACAUCUAGAAUACCAAAUACAUAUCCUUAGAUACAUCAUAAGAUGUACUUUCGUAUUGUAUAUAUUUGAUAGUGUAGAUAAAAUAGUUCUCUCUGUAAACUUUGAAAAAAAUUGUAACGUUUGACUUUUCAGAAAAUCUAUAUGCACUACAUUAUGAAAUGGAGGGAGUAUGUCUUUGCGUGGGGUAUUUUGGGGUAGUUAUAGCCAUUAAAAGAAUUGCCUAAUCUUUUUUUUGUUGACCCGGGGUUUGCUCUGAUCCUGGCUCUGACUAAGUAGUUGGUGUUUUUUGUAUUGUUCGUAUUCUUGCCUCGGCGGGAUGUGAUGCCCCUCGGGGUGGUUUCAGGCCGGUUUUCCCCGUAAAAUGGAACAUGAUUUUCGAUCUGCUUUCCACAUAAACCGGUCGAUUUCUUUCUGAUUGAGAUCAAUAAACAGGUGGGGAUUUCCUCCUCCCAGUGAAAAAAAAAGACAAUUUAUUGCUAAUUGCCCUGCACAGCACUGCACCACAGAGUGAGGACGCAGCUUCAGCUGCUCCCUCUGCCCCUCACAAGCAAACAAUCAAUCAGUCCUAAAAUAUUAAAGAGUGCACGUAUGGGUUGGUGCCUUGGCAGACAUGAUGAUUCAUACUUUCAAGAGAAGAUAGAAGAAGAUAAGAUGCGUUUAAAAGGGAGGCACCUUUGCACGCAGAAGGGGAACGCAUUCAUUCACAAGGAAAGGAGAGGAAAGGAAGCAGCAGGCACCUGCAAAGCUGCAUGCAUGCGGCCUCUCUCUUCACGACAGGCAGUGCUGUGUCGUUGCUCCUGCCCGCCAAAUUAGUACCAGUAGUAACAGUAUAGUAGACUCGCUGAAGCAUGUGUCAGGGCAAGUGUUUUUUCUUUGGCAACAAAAGGUAAAAGGUGGCAAGCCAAGCGGGUGAUCUUGAGUGUUCCCCUUGGUCGAUCGACUAUCAUAUAUUCAUAUCAAAUCAAAAGGCUGGCUAAUACUGCCACGCGAGGUGAGGAGCCUAGCUAGGUGAGUCUCACCAUUCUAUAGUAGGUAGACCCCGCCGCACCCCACAAUAUUUUCUGUGGGAAAACUUUCUUCUGACCCGGCCCCGGAGGCAGGGAGAAUUGUCACUCUUGCAGUGGCCGUUACCGCCCCCCAAAAGAAUGGUUCGUCUUUUGAAAUCAAAUCAAAUGAUAAGACCAAGCAAGCAAUUGAGCUCCGUGCAGCGGCAGUAGAAAAGGCGUGCAGCGCACGGGCAAAUGCUAUCCUGGAGGACCACCUACCCCCUCCCUCAACCCUCAUCAUGGCAUGCAUCUUCUCCUACCACAAAAGUACUUGCUGCCAACGCCAACCUAGCUAGUCAGCCUUAUCAUCACCUGAUUCUCCUUCUCCUAACACACAAAAAAAAGGUAUUACUCCCUUCGAGCCAUAUUACUUGUCUUAGAUUUGUCUAGACUUGACACGUUUUGUUACGGAUACAUACAAGUAAUAUGGAUCGGAUACUCCCUUGGCAGAGAAAUAUAAGACCGUUUAGAUCACUACUAAUACUAAAGAGGGAGAAGGAGUAAUAUGGAUAUGAGCACGAGGGAAUGAGGUUGACCGGAGCACAGUAGAGGACACGAGAAGAGCCUUCCAUCCCAUUCCCAUCAGCUUGGGACAGGACCGGGAAGGGACCCAUGCAUGUCUCCUCCCAAAUGCAUGCAUGACCAAACUAUCAUAUCAUUACGGGUAGGGUAGGGGGGACAAGGCAGAAAACAUUACCUGGGACUUGUCCCCCUCCCUCCUCAUGCCGCUCCUCGGCUUCUCCUAUAACUGUGGCUAUGCUCUCCGGCAAGGACCAUUCAGUCACACACUCGCACACACUCAGCUGCUGCCUGCUGCUUGCUUGCUCUUGGCCAUGCCCAUGGAGAUGGAGAGAGUUUGCAAGAGACGGCCGGGCAUGCCUCCUGCUCUCCUUCUCGCCCUUCAUGGCGUGGAUGAGCAGCAUAUGCCCGCACCAUCGGUGCCUCCGCCGCAGACCCCCAUGGAGCCCAUGGAGUACCUGUCCAGGUCCUGGAGCGUCUCCGCCGACGAGAUAUCCAAGGCCCUGCUGCUCAAAGGGGCCACCAAGCGGAGCUUCUUCGCCCCCGCCGACAGCCUUCUUCCGGCCACCAUACUGGACACAGAGACCUCCUCCUACGAGCUCCUCGCCGCUUCCGGUCAACAGCUCCAGCGCCAGCAACAUGUAAGUAACCAAUCAAUCCACGCCGUCUCUUGCUUCUUUCCUUCUUUUUCUGCUCUGCAACAUAUGCGUAUGUGUCAAUCAAGUUGGAAACAACAAAUUCAGAUGCAAAACAGUUUGUAACCAUUUCUGAUCUAAAUGCUCUUACUUACCCAAAGCAUCUCUGCUCUGUAGCUAGAUCAUGUAACAGGGAGGAGCUCCAUCAGCUGCCACCGCCACUCAAACUCGGUGACCAGAUGGUACUUCCAGCACAAGGAGACCGCCAGGCACGGCAGGAAGGAGAAGGCGCGCGCUGACCGGGCCCAGGCGCACGCCAUGGUCUCCGUGGCCCAGGUGUCCGCCGCGGUGGCAGCCGUCACUGCGGCGACCAGCCGGGACAACCAGGACUCCAAGAUAGCUGCAGCCAUGGCGUCUGCCACCAAGUUGCUGGCUUCGCACUGUGCUGAGGCAGCCCAGCUUGCAGGGGCAGGUCAUGAGCAGGUGUCCUCUGCUGUCCGGUCUGCGGUCGGUGUCGCGGGCCCGGGUGAUCUGAUGACGCUCACAGCGGCCGCGGCGACAGGUGAGAAAUCCCCAUAAAUUGUCAUCACACUGAAAUUCAUCUGCUGUUAUUGUGUGCCUCCUGAUGAUAUUGUGUGCAAAGCUUUGAGAGGAGCUGCGACGCUGAAGAAGAGGGUCCAGCGCGAGGCGAGAAGCAAUGCCACUGUCAUUCCUUAUGAGAAGGCCCCUUUGUCCUCGAGUCCUGAUAUCUGGUGCAAGGAAGGCAAGCUGCUAAAACGCACAAGAAAAGGUGAGAAAUACUAAACCAUCGGGAAAAUUUUAAUUACAUUCUGAUAGAAUAAAAUCUGAACUUCUGAAGAAUGAUCAAGAGACCUGACAUUCAAAUAUUUUGUUUCUGAAUCAGGGGAUUUACACAAGAGACGGGUGUCAAUCUACAUUAACAAGAGGUCACAGGUAGGGAAUUUUCCUCCAUUGCUUCAUUUGUAAUAUAACACAAAAGGUUUACAGUUAUAUAACUCUGGCCAGUUCUGGUGAAUAGAUGUACAUUAUGUACAACCGAAUAUCAAUUAACAGUAAGUCUGGAUAAAUACAGGUCAUACUGAAGCUGAAGAGCAAACACAUUGGAGGUGCGCUUUCAAAAAACAACAAAAGUAGGUUUAAAUUUUAUCUCAAGAAGUAACACCUGAUGGCAAUGCUUCCUGAAUCUGAAUACUGACCUUUUGCUUAAAAAUACUUACAGGUGUCGUUUACGGGGUAUACAGUGAGCUCCCAGAGUGGACUGAGCCAGGGAAAUGUUUACCAGAGACAUGCUGCUUUGGCUUGAGUACAGCACAGGGCCUGAUUGAGUUCAAGUGUGAGAGCAGCACCAGUAAACAGAGCUGGGUUCAUGGCGUGCAAAAUCUGCUCCAGCAGGUCGAUGUAGCUGAACAAGUAGGGCACAGGCUAGAAACACUAAAACUCAACUGGUGCAGUUAGGGUUAGUACAUGAACCCAAAUUUGCAGGACAGUCAAAGCAUGUUUUGGGCAGGUGGUAUGUAACAGUAACACUGCUUGAUUAUUCUCAUAAGUUCAACCCAGGUUAAGAUACACCUAAUGGCUCGACGUGAAUAUAUUAACAAAAGAAUAAUGUAUUGCUAGUUUUGGAAAAAGAAUACACAUUGUAAGAAUUCAUAAUAAAAAAAAGGUUCAAAACACAACAGUCUUCAUCACUUCAUAUGGCAGCACACGGAGCUCGCAGUAUGACUUGAUAGCUUCUGCUAGGCACUGCUUCUCAAGGUUCUCAGACUUCACAACAAAGCUAUGUAAUGUGUCCCUGUGAGAAACCCGUUCAACCUGCAUCAGAUGCAAAGGAGAAGAUAUUAAAUUUCUAAUUCCCAGCUGGAAUAAGUGGGAUAAAAAUGCAUUGGUUUAAUAAAACUUCAGCACAGCAUGUGCAUCUUCACUAAGCAGGCAAUGCCACUAUGCCACAGCAGUUGUAAUGUGAAAGUGACCAAGCAUGACAUUAUUUUGGACACAGGUGGAUGCUAACAAAUCCCACAAGGGGAACGACCUGAAGAGAUACUAGCCCAAGUGGUGAAAAGAAAGCAAUUUAACACCCAACUGAUGAUUUGAUUCAAGUCCAAACUAUCAUAAAAACUGAGACCAGGAGGAGUUUGUAAAUGACAGAUAGACAGUUGUGGCACUUAAGUUCAAUAUUAUGCGAAAAAUAUUAGUACCAUCUGCUCAAUUAUUGGCCCAGCAUCAAGUUCGGGAGUAACAAAAUGGCUAGUUGCACCAAUCAACUUCACCCCAGCAUUGAAGGCCUGAAAGAAGUUAGACAAUUGUAAAUAAAUUGAAAAAAGAAAAGAAAGUUCAGAUCAGGUUCACAAAUGUAACAAUUUCAAUACCUGUCUAGAAGGACUUCCUCCUUUGAACGAGGGGAGAAGGCCAUGGUGAAUAUUAAUAAUAUCUUUCCCGUAUGAUUUAAGAAAGCUUUCAGACAUUACCUGCGACAAAAGAAUGAUUCGUGUCACCAAUAUUUUUUGAAGAAAAGGAGUUUCUGUGACCAAUAUUUGUGUGGCAGAAAUAUGUAUUGCGUGUUAGUAGUAUAGAAUAAUAUAAAGUCUGUACACCUGAUGGCGCCAAAGACAAAGAUAUUCAUAUGCCCCAUAGAGAUACAAGAAUAGCGAUCUCCUAAAUAUGCACAUAUUGCGAACUUUAUUGCAGAAAUCAUACAUAACUCUAGGAAAUACCCAAAUAUCAGUCCAAACCUUUUAUACAAAUAUGAGACGCUAGCGCGCCCUUUUCUUUCCAUUGCAAUGUAGGGAAAAGAAAAGGAAAACAGAGACCGUGACAAAAUAAGCCUACCUGCAUAUAUCUUGCCAGCACAACAAAAUCUGUGCCUUCAAUCAAUUCUAAUAUCUCUUUUUCUCUUUUAUUCCCAGAAGUCGUUGGUAAGUAAUGAUAGGGGAUUUCGUGCCUCUGAAGAAAACGCAUCACAUGAUUAUCUACAGGUCGAUCAUGGUUGCUGUACAAGAAAACAAAGAGCAUAUAAACUCCAGGAACAGCAUAUUCUGACAAGCAAAAAGUAACAAAGCCCGAAGAAAGAAUUAUAAAAGUAUGAUUCAUACACCUUAUCACACAAUGAAUGUCAACUGGAAGCCUGCCUUCUUGCCAUCUAUGCAGCAAGUCAAACAAGCAAUGGUCCUAGAAGAAGAAGACGAAAACAUACUUGUCAAAAUCACUACACAAAGAGAGAUGUGUACAUUGACAUGUGGCAUUAAAGGCAUCAAUUCCACAGAGAAAUCAUUGCCGGAUGAAGUGCAAGGAAGAGGUACGAAACCGCGAACCUGCUUCGAAGCGAGGACUGCAAUCUUGUACUUGGGGUCAAUGUCAGGUACGCGCACAGUGGAUUUCUGCGCAUUGAAGCAGUCCGACAGAUGGAGGAAGUCGGUGCGAAGCAUGUCGCGCGGCCAUAGCCUUGGAUUGUAGGUGAACUCACUGCAAAUUGGCGGCACAUGAGCUGAAGAGAAGCGCAUUAUUCCUAGGGAUAACUUGCUCGCAAGGAAGAGACACUUCGCUGAUCUUAUUUUUGUAAUGUAUAACUAACGCAGGAAUAGAGUACGGCUCGGAACUGAACAGGAGAUUGUGAUGGGAACAAAAAAAAGUUUUGAGAGUGAUUUCACCCGGGCCGCCAUCGCCAUGAGAAGGCUAGGGUGAGAGUACUACGUACUGCAUAAUCUGUAAUGCCACUGAGGGGCUGAUGUGCAAUUCGUCGAACAGGUGUCGGGCUGACUGACAGACUGGCUGGUGUAGUAGGUGGAUAAAGAAAUGGGAGGUGGGAAAUGGAGGCGGCGCGGCAGGGAGGCGGGGUGAGGGAGUACCUGCGGGCGUAGAAGACGGGGGCGUCGUCGGGGACGAAGACGUCGACGCUGUGGAUGUUGCCGCCGCGGGAGGCGAUGCACUCGGACAGCUUGGCCACGAUGCCCACCGCGUCCUGGCCAACAGCAUGCAGGAAACUCACUCACAUCGGCUCCGAGAGGAAGAAGAGAGGGAAAAAAUGAGAAGGGGCGUACGGGGCACUGGAAGAGGUGGAUGCCGAGGAGGUUGCCGGCGGGGACGGCGGCGGAGAGCGGGCGGCGGGCGAGGGAGAGCAUGGCUGGCGGGGGCGGUUGGUGGCGGUGGUGGUGGUGGCGCCAAGCCCACCCAUCGGCGCCGCUAUUCUAAUCUGGGUUCGUUCGUUGCUGGUUGGUGGAGUAGAUCGGGUCCGGUGGGUGUGGGUGUUGGAUCGCACCACAGCACCAUGUUGCUUUGAGAUUCGUGUUGUUCUCUUAUUGCUUUUUAAAUUUGCCGUGUUUCAAAAGCUUUCCGUUCCGGUUUUUUCCUCUCGUUUCAAAGUGUAUGAGAAAAAAAAACAAUGAUAAAGUCUCAAGAAAGGAAAAACAAUGUAGAGCUUUGAAACAUGACGAAUUCGAAAAGCACUGAAUUAAAAAAAAAACACGCAUCUCAAAGCACUCAUAGACGGUACCAGAUCCUUCUCAUUUUGCACCGGGUGUUUUCUUCUUAUUUCAGAAUGUAUCUUGAUGUUCAUUUGUGCCGUCGCGUAUGAGUUAACCAGCUCCAAAGAAAGUGCACUCUAUUUUUAUUGGCACACAAUGAAACAUGGUGAUACACGUUCAAACAAGCAAAAACCAAAUAUACUAACGAAACAUUGUGAAACGAGACGAAAUUUAACAACAAUCAGGAAAAAAUAGCAUGAAUCUCAAAACAACCACGAGCGAUGGACACAUUCACGGGAUAGAAUAACCACUCUUUGUCACGGAGCUCUCUCUCUCUCUCUCUCGGUUGGCGAGAAGAAAGGAGAUUUCUUUACCAAGGGUUCUAGAUAUAAUGGAUGUUUAAAUGAGCUUCAAAGGGUUUCGAAUGUAUGGUAAAAACCAUCUUCGAUUUACCGGAUGAUUCCAUUCUUUGAAAUAAAUUGCAGUGAUCUCUUUCCCUUCAGAGAUUCCCUUGCAUCGAGCUUCCUCUUUGUUUUCGUUCUUUCAUAUCGGCGUCAUUGUUUCUCCCGCUUUCUCUGCGGUUAGUUUUUCUGUGGGCAAGGCUUGUGAUCUCUACCUUGCGCUCUGACGUGCCCCCUGUAAUCUCUUGCCCACCCGUCCCCUCGGUCCCUCCCCCCAUCUUUUUGGCAUAGCAGAAAUCAUUCAUGUGGGUGUAAGCCUUACGUAGACCCUUCCAAAAAGAAUUUGCGAGAUUGGAUGUUCUUGUGUUUCCUUUUGUAGGGUCUAUCAAACAAUCGCAUUUUCAAUUUUACGUUUUUUUAUCUAUAUGUUUAUGAUAGCAUACGCCCAAAAUUCAAGCUACCAAAUCGUUCCACUUUGACAUCUACCUGUUAAUGAACUCUUCUUCUCUAUUUUGAGUAAUGUUAUGCUGGUACGCACUUGCUCAUUUGCAAGUGAUGCCACCUGAAAUCACUCGUUGAUCCAAGCGGGGGAGUGCUUUCUUGGCUCACAAGGGCCGAGAGGAGGAGGAGGAGGAGGAGAAGAAGAAGAAGAUGAUGUAACUAAUGUUUACCACCAAUGGUGUGUUAUACUUGGUGACAUGGAAUAGAUCGCUUGUGUUGUAAAGUGCACAUCAAUAUUUCUUGUGUAAAGUUAUUCAUUAGAAAAUCUGAAGAAGAAAUUGCUCCCAUGUGUUUGUGCCUAUACUAUACUAAAAGAUGUAUAUUAUUAUUAUAAUACUAAAAGAUGUGUAAAUCUAAAGAAAUUAGUGGUUUUCCGGCUGAUAUACUAAUAUACUAAAGGAUGUAUAUUAUUACUAUUAUUAUAAAAGAUGUAUAAAUCUAAAUAUGUGCCUAUAUUAUACCAACCCGAAGUGGGGUCUUCCAGUGGAAGAUGAUGCGGCCUCCUCCAUGCUAACAUCCUCCGGCUCCACUCCUGACGGCAACUGCCAGUCAAAGCCGUAGAGGAGGCUAGCGAGGAUGAACUCGACGUUCGCCACCGCCAAAGCUAAUUGAGGGCAUAUCCAGGAAAAGAGAAAGUGCUAAUUUAUUGAUCCCGGCCUAUUACCAAUGCAAGCAUGCAGUGGCAGAGCUUCAUAGGGGGCUAUUGCCCUCUACUCUAGGAAAACUGAUAAGGGUACCCCUAAUGUCAUUAGGCUUGAAUAUACGGUUUUACCGGAACUCAGUUAGCUGAGUUUUAUUUAUGGUCUCAGUCACUUUUCUCACCGUCCGAUCGCCACGCACGAGAUUUUGUCGUCGUUGUGCGUUGUGCCGUCCGAGGGACGCGGCUGCAGUCUCGUACAGCGGGCACCCCAUGUGCAUGAGUGCUGGCUUUUGUUUUUUCGUCUACGGAGCUGGGCUACGUGUGCUUUUUUUUUACCCAACCAAAAAAAGAAAGAGGAUGAUCGAAGGAUGUGAAUCGUUUUUAGCUGUUUGCAUUCCUCUUUUGAAUCGUACAGGGGGAGCCCAUGUGAAUCGUUGCUAGCUGUUUGCAUGUAAUUGUCAUUUUCUUUUUUGAAUCAUGUUAUUGUCAUUUGUUGACCAUAGGUGCCAUGCUCAGCUCUUUUCUAACGACUUUCCUUUUCAGUUUUUUAUCUCCCGAUUAAUUGUUUCCCUCUGAAUUAAUUGCUUUUAUUUUUAUUUUGUUAUUUUAGUUUUAAAAUUUUCUUAUUCACUACUUAGUAGAAAAUUGUUCCACUCUUUUCCUUUUCCUAAUUUUCCUAAUUAAGUGUAUUCAUUUAUUUCAGAUUAAUAUUUAUUUCGUUACGAUAGAUUAAAGAUUGACUGUUCGGGCUUUUCUUUGUGGGGGAUUGACUGUUUAAUCUUUCACUUUUUGUGUUUCUCUUCCUUUGUAUUUUCUAUAUUUUCAUUUUUCAAUCUUCAUAUUUCAUCUAUUUUUUACAUUUUAUUUUUCAUUUUCAUUUAAUAUUUUUUGUGCCUUAUUUUGUUUUCCUUCUUAUUCUAAUGACACCAUUACUCAAGUCGGGUCGCAACUGCAAGUUUUUAAAUGUGGUCGCAUUUGCAAGUUUUUAAGUGGGGUCGCAAUUGCAAGUAUUCAAAGUCGGGGCAUAACUGCAAGUUUUUAAUUGUGGUCGCAACUGCAAGUUUUCAACCGGGGUCACAACUGCAAGUAUUCACAAUACGGUCGCAACUGCGAGUAUUCAAAGUCGGCUCGCAACUGCAAGUGUUUAACUGUGGUCGCAACUACAAGUUUUCAAGUUGGGUCUCAACUGCAAGUUUUCAAAUAUUCAAAGUCGGAUCGCAAUUGCAAGUAUUCAAAGUCGGGUUGCAAUUGCAAGUUUUCAAGUGAGGUUGCAACUACAAAAUUUUAAAUGUGGUCGCAACUGCAAGUAUUCAAAUUCGGGUUGCAACUGCAAGUUUUCAAUGUCAAGUUGCAACUACGAGUAUUCAAAGUCCGGUCGCAACUGCAAGUUUUCAUAGUUGGGUCGCAACUGCAAGUAUUCUAAGUCAGGUCGCAACUUUAAGUUUUCAAGUGGGGUCGCAACAGAAAGUUUUCAAAGUUUUGAACGGCAACUGCAAGUUUUUAAGUGGGUUGCAACUGGAAGUUUUCAUGGGGUCACAACUGCAAGUUGUAAAUCAAGUCGCAAUUGCAUGUUUCAGAUCCGGCCACAAUUCUUUAAAAACAUUCUUGGCUAUUUUUCUCUUAAAUAUAGUGACUACUCACGGUCUUUUAGGGUCGAUUUUUUCAUCUCAAUGCAUCUUCUUUUUUCAGCCCAAAUUCACGUGAUGACAAACCCAUCUAAAAUGUUUUUUUUUCUUUUGUACAUGUGUAGUAAAUAGCUAAUGAAAAUCUGGCCCAACCCAACGAGAAAAAGAGUAGCGACCAAUCCCUUUUUUUGCCUGGGGUCAUGUGAGCUCAGGUGCCAGGCAAAACCAUCAACAAAGAAAACCAUCAACACAGCAAAAACAGAGCAAAAUAGCGCGGCAAAUGUGUGCGCCAAAUCACUUGGGCCUCCAGGCUUUUAUAAAGGAAUAACAGAAAACGGCCGGGAAAACAACAAACGGGCUUCCGCUCAAACUCAGAAACAGAAAACGGGCUGACACAACUAGUUCAUGACAUCAGCUUACAUCAGGUGAUUAAGACCAUACUAUAACUCGGCUAGCUGAGUUCCAGGCGGUCCCAUAUAAAAAACACAUGCAAUUUCUUCUUCAGAUUUCCAAUGAAUCACUAGUCUGUUACACAAGAAAUAUUGGUGUGCAUUUUACAACACACAAGCGAUCUAUUGCAUGUCACCAAGCAUAACACACUGGUGGUAAACAUUAGUUACAUGUUCAUAUUCUUAUCUGCUUUACAUUGAUUCUACUAAUGAAAUCAGCUGCGGAAUGCAUUUUUUAGCCCAAAAACGCCAAAAGACACUGUGUAAAAAGAAAGAAAGAAAGCCGCCUCCCUCGCAAGGAAACGUACUCCGUAAUACCGCUUCCGUCGCGGUGGAGGCGUGAGCCUGGGGCCUGGGCCGAGUUGUUGUAGUCCGCCGUCGUCUCGACCCACCAGCAGUCGGAAGUUGGAACCCCGUCGUCUCCAGAUCCAAAUCCUCCAAAUCCAGAUCACCCACCCACCCACCGGCCGCGAUCCAUCCAUGGAGCUGGAGGCGCCGUCGCCGGCGAGGUACCUGCUGGGCGCGGCGAUCAUGAUGGCCGGCGUCGUGCUGCCGCUCGCCUACAUGAUCUUCCGCAGCAAGCGCUCCUCCUCCUCCUCCGCCGCGGCCUCCGUCUCCUCCAUCGCCUCCGCCGCCCCCUCAUCCUCCUUCUCCAAGCAGACGUAGGUGUGCUCUGCCUCUCUUUACCCCUCUGCUCGCCUCCGCUCCGGCGAACCCCCUCCUCCGCCCCUCUGAAAGAUUGGCGCUUUGCUGACUCGGUUCCGCUCUCCGUUUGCCUGCAGGAACAAGGGCCUCUUCUGAUGGCCCGCGCGUUUGGUGCUCUUCUAGCUGGUAGCGCUAGCUCGUUUCUGCAAGAAAAGAGAAGAAAUCCCAUCUGUAUCCGCGGUCUGUCUCGGGUGUAGUUGCAGUAGCAUUUCAGCUGUGAAUCUCUAUCUGUAGUAUGUAUGUUUGUCUCUGAGCAGUUGAGCAAAUUUUUUGGUGAUGAAAUGAAAUGAAAUGAAAGGGAAACAAACUGGUUUUUUGUUAAUACCUGUACAACUUUGAUUGAUACCAUUGUCAACAUGAUCCUGGGGAUGCAGCCCUGAACAGUCAGCUUGCUUGUUGUCACAGCUGAUCCUGAUCAUAGUAGCAUUAUUGGCGUUGCGUGGUGGAUAAACCGGAAAUGUGUUUUUAGCUUACACACGUGCAUCUGUUGUUAGACAUAAUCAAGAAGAAUUCACCGAUUGGCUAGUUUGUAACCUACCUGCCCUCGAUUGUAGUUUUUGUCAAUGGUCUUGGGGAUGCAACCCUGAACAAUCAGCUUGCUUGUUGUCACUGCUUAUCCUGAUCACAGUAGCAUUGUUGGCGUUGCGUGAUGGAUAAAUCGCAAAUGUGUUAUAGCUUACAAUAUGAAUCUAUGGUUAGACAGAAUCAAGAAGAAUUCACUGAUUGGCUACUUUCUAAUCUCGAUUGUAGUUUGCUCACUGAAUGCCGCCUUUUAACUUGGAUGGCAGUGGUACCGUGUUUUGGUAUUGCCCUCUUAUAUCUCUCAAGUAUCCGGAAGAUUGUUGUUUCUUUAGCACGGCUGUGCGCUAGGUAGGUGACUUGGCAUUUUGCUGUGUAUGAUAUACUUCCACGGUUAUGCUUAAGUUUGCAAUUUCUUAGCAUCAGCCUGUGGCUAUUUUAGUGCUGAUACGUAUUGGUUGAGUUCACCUUACAGUGUAGCUGGUGAUUAAGCUAUCUGAAUAGAACACGAGGCCCUUCAGUUCUGUGUUAUGUUUUUGACACCCCAAGGUUUUAUGUGCACGAGAGGUAAAUAUGCUUUAACCAUAUAGUAGGUUGUUGCAAUUGAUCGGCAUAGGCAAGUGACUGUUUCGGAUAAUGCGCAUCAAUUCAGCUCACUCUUUUAUUAUGAACUAGCUUUACUAAGAUUUGAGUUUGCUCUUUUAUUAUGAACUAGCUUUACUAAGAUUUGAGUUUGCAUUGUGUUGGGGCUGGUGAUAUAGCAGAGAGAUGCAUAAUUCAGUGCUCUUUUAUCCAACUUAUGCGAUUUGUAUGCGACACUCUGCCUGGCGGGGCUGUCAACUUAGAGCUGGUAAAUGUAGAUAACCUCUUGAGCCUGGUUCAGCGGAUCUGAAGACGUCAAUAGAACAUAAAUUAAAGUCUGAUGGUGUUCCUGGUAUGUAGGAAAUGGGUAGAGUGUGCUUGGCAAGAUACGGUAAUCUAGCGAAGAAGACUGGAAACAAGAUGUUCAAUCUUAAUAAAGGAAGAAUGAAAUAAAAUGUUCAUGGCCCGGUAAAAAUAGGAGAUUGGAAACAUUAUGGUUAUAUAUCUAGUUGCUGGUCCUGACUGGGGGGGAACGGUCGAGUUUUCGGUUACUCUAUAAGGGGAGCAAAGCAGAGAUCAUGCAUGAUGGAUGCUCUUGUGCUGACAUUCUUUUCAGUAAAGGGCGCGCCUAUUUGGUUUGUAUUGGGACGACGGUUGGCAUCUGUAAUCUGUUCGCUGAACUGGUGUUAUAUGCUGUACCUAAUUGGUCUGAAUGUGGAAUUUGUGAUGUAUUACAACUGGUGUGCAUGCUGGAUAGUGGCGUGGAUGAGUUUUUUCUUCUCUCUAUACAUAGAUGUACAACUUUGAUAGAUAUCAUCAUCACAAGGCAGUAGUGAGCCUGGAACUGGGAACAUCAGUGACGCAGCCACGCUGCCAGCGCUAUGGGUAUAUUGUUGAACUUUACUUUCUUUAACUUCUCAUUUAGUCCCCGAGAUUGCAAUUUUGCGCGCUUGAUGAUUCGUCGUGCAGAUUGGAAUUUCAUGCGCUUGAUGAUUCGUCGUCGGUGGCCAGCGACAAUUUAACGGAAUCCAUGUUAUUAUUGCUCAGAGAAAACAAGUUUUUACCUACAGGCGAUGCAAGCCCUCAAAGAGGGCUCGCUCACUAACAAUGCAUAAGAGGGAGGAGAAACAGUUAACAGCAACCAAAGACACAAAAAGAAGAGCUAUUUGGAGUGAAGGAGGAUUAAAAAGCAAUGAAUACCAGCCAAACAUUACACAAACACGGUAGGCAGUACAUCAUAUAACGAAAUCCCGAUUUAAAUACAUCAUCAUUGUGCCCUAAAAAAUGUGUCUGUCCAAAAAUCCUACACCGUUUGUUGAUUGACCGACCGCAGCCGCAUCAGGCCACGACCGAUCGAUGACAGAAAAAAAGGGGGAAGAAACGACGCA
rnacentral:lncRNA from 1 species